UUUUUUUUUUUUUUUUUUUGUGAAACAGGGAUAACAGUUGUUGUGGUUGGAACUUUAUGGACCACUUUAGUACAUACUUGGACUUCAGGGACAAAAGUUGCAUUUUUUUUCACAUAGUGCGUUAGCCGUUAAGAGACUAUCUAACAAUCAUUGAGAGCUGUAUAAAAUUCGUAUCAGAAAAAAGAAAUAUAAAGAAGGAAAAUUUUAAGAUGACAAAAAAAAUACAGAAAUUGCCAAUUAUUUUUGAGACGUAUGUAAUCGUGUUACUCAAUUAUAGAUAGGGUGGAGUCUACACCUAAUUCCGCCCCUCUAAGGUGGUUUAAUUUUGAUUAAAAAAAAAAAGGAAUUUCACAUGACUCCUGCCAAUAGGAAUUUGUAGAUUUGUCAAUUACGCUUUCCUGUUUCGAAUUGGAAACAAUAGGAGAGUCCAAUUCGAACUGUUUUGGGUUAUGGAAACUGGGAACCAAUGGCGGUGACAAAUUACUCCAUAGUGCAUAAAAGGAGCAGUAUCUUCAGAUUUCCCUAGUGCAAAUUGCUCUGCUUCAUCAAUUCACGCUGACAACAGUACUCUAGCGUAUAACCUAAAAAGUUGUCUAUUACAAUGGUGGAGACAGAAGCUUUAGAAGAUUGCACGGCGAAAUUGCCUCAACAUAUUAUGCAUCACAUACUCUCUUUUCUCCAAAUCCCAGAACAGGCAGCACCAAUGAGUUUGUUGUCGAAGGCAUGGUUGCAGGCAUGGCGCACGCGCCCCAAUUUGGAGCUUUUGUACAAUAUAUAUUCAGAACCGACUGAUAAAGGCAUUCAAAAAAGGCGAAGUGAUUUCGUAAAUUGCAUCAACACCACCUUGCAACGGUACCGUGAGCACAAGAAUGGUAUUGAUCGUUUAAAUCUUUGUAGCCCUCCAUCUGUAUCGCCUGAGGAUUUCAAUAGAUGGAUCCAAAUUGCUGUGGAAAACGGAGUCAAAAGUCUUGAUAUUGCUGCCCCUUCUGGUUCUGAAUAUUUUGUUUUGGCUCCAACUGUUUUUGAAGCUAAGUCGAUUGCAGAAUUGGAUCUUUGCCAUUUCCAGUUGAAGCCCCAAGUGAUUAAGACGAUAAGGUGUCACAAUCUCCACAAACUUCGGCUUAUGCAUGUGAAAUUAGACGAGGUAUUGUUCCAAAGAAUAUUGUCCAGCUGCCCGUUGAUUCAUUUGUUGACAAUUGUUAACUGUGCGGGUCUUGCCAACGUUAAGGUGACCAAGCUUCAGAAGCUUGAGCAUCUUGAUAUUGUAGUAAAGGGAAGUUGUUCUGUUGAAGUCGAAGCACCAAGUCUUCUGUACUUUAAGUAUGGCAAACUACUUUCCUUCGAGAUAGAACGAACAUCAAGACAUCGCAAGCUUCGGAUGCAUGCCUGUCCAAAUCUAAAGCAUUUGCUGUUGGACGAAAUUGGCAUCACUGACGAGUUUUUCUUAGAUUUCGCAGAAAAAUUCCCACAUCUCGAAGAGUUAGAAAUCACAAGCUGGGGCGGCGAUUUGGAAAGAAUCAAUAUUUCCAGCCGCUCCAUUAAGCACAUAAGUUUGGAAUUGCACUUGGAACCAGUAGAAGAGGUCCAAAUUGAUGUUCCAAGCCUUGAUUGGUUUGAAUACACAGGAAAAUCCAUAAACCUGUUUUCUUUCACAGCUCCCUCUGGUCCUUGUGUUUCUACAAUUAAAUUGCAGUGUCGGGAAUGGCCCUUACCAGUGGCUUCGUGGUUCUCCAAAUUGAAGGACAUGUUGACAAAGCUAAGUCAAUCUAAAGUUUCACUCCAUUUAGACAUUGAUCAACUUGUGUCCAGGUCCACUGUUUUUGAGGUAAGAAAUAGAUCCAUUCUUCCACUGCCUCAAGUUCAAAAGUUGUCCUUAUGUUUUCACAAUAGAUGUUUAGAUACUGCAGACUCAAUUUUAGAUGCUAUCUUCUGGACUUGUCGUCCUAAAACCAUUGCUCAAAAGUGGAACAAGUGCCUGAAGCCAAACAAGAUUCACCUCGCAAAGGUAAUCUAUGAGACGUUCCUUCUGGGAGGAGAAAAUAUUAAGCACACCAACGUGCAGAAAAGGAAGCUUUGGCAGAAUGAUCUGAGGGAUGUAAAACUCGUGAGAUUUAAAAAGGGCCAAAGAGUGCACUUGUCUAGUUCUCUGGACUGGGAUACUUUUUUGGAAGUAUUCCCGCGUAAAGGGGACUGUCGACGUUUUCGCUAUGAGCUAGAGUGGGAACCAAUAGACGUGGAUCGGAAGCAAAAAGUUUCAAACCCAAAAAGAAGGAAAUUAGAGGAGAGCAGGAAAUAGCAGAAAGCGGUAUCAAGAAGCUGAUGAAUAUGAUGUUCAAGGGCUUUCCGAAUGCAUUUAAUCGUCUUAGUGACAGGCUCAAAUAGUUCCUGGGCAGGAGUUAAGUAUUUUGAUCCUGAUAUUCCAUGCCAAAAUUGAAGAUGAAUACCUAGACAUUAUUUAGAGUUUAAAUACCCUUUUACGAUCAUUAUUCACCAAAAUAUUGACCCUUUUGUCAAAAUUAAAAAAUCUUGACAUUUUUGUCGGCAAUCCAUAACUAUAUAAAGAAAUUUAUUUGUAGAAAAUUGACGUCUUAUAUAUAUAUGUCAAACUUUUCAUGGGGUCGAUCUUCCACUUAACGUCUGAACAAAACCAAUACAGAGUCCUACAAUCCAGAACAGCCGUGGCUUUUCCUUUUGCUCCCUUGCCAUGUUUUCAAAUUCUUUAAGAAUUUCUUCAUGCAGCAGAAGGAUGAUUUAUGAUGUUCCUGCUUUCACAUAAAUUUAACAGUAAAGAUACAAGAUAUGUUGUUCCUUCUCUUUGUAUUUAACUCUCUUCUCUAUGAACACACAUGAUCAUGAUACAGUUCUCGUUCCUACGUCCUUGCACAUGUAUCUUGUGCUUGUACAUUGGAAAUAUCAAACAGUAGGAGGAGCCAAAAAAAGAGCAAGAGAGGGCUAAGAAUUCCUUCGUGUGCUUCCCAGACAUUUUGAUACUAUCCAACAUUUUUGACAAAAAAAAAAAAAAAAUCCACGAGGCCAAGUCCCUGUGCGAUUGUUCGACAGUCAACAUGUUUUAUCUCUUGUUUACCAGUCCAAGGCUUGUUUCAGCGAGUAAUUCUCUACUAUCAAUCUUGGAAGAACUCAUGCUCAAUAAAAUCCUAUGAAAUUGGUCUAAAACUGGAUAGGGGAAUUCAAUGCAAACUGAUGCCACACACAGAAUUUCAGCUUUACUGUAAGAAAACUUUGUGGUACACCAAUUCAGUUCCAAGUGCAAGUACAUUAGUAAGGACAAAGAUGAUACUUCAACCAUUAUUGUUUAAGGGCAUGCCCCAAACACUGAGAACGGAUUACUUGGCAUAGUACAUUUGUUCCACGACAAAAUAUAUGAAUAACUUCUGACUGGCACUGCAGCAAUGGUUUGCUUAAUUUCCUUGUAAUGUCAACCUUGACAUCAUGUGUUCAGAUUUCUGCCCCGCAAAAGAAGUUAAACAACAGUUAGUAAGGUAACACAGAUCAGUUGAACAGGAUAGACUAGUAAUAGUGCUAAUCUCUCAACUUGUGGCUCAUCAACAAGGACAUGAAGGUAUUCCAACCGGCCAUUGCUUUCCUGGCUUUAAUUGAAUGGCAGCUACUCUUAUGAAUGAUGUGAGUAGGUAGUUCGAUGAGAACUAUUUUAUAUUUUGUUUCACUCAAGAGAAUUCUAUACCUUGUAUAUAAUUCUGGCCAAAGAAAGGGAGAGAAAGGAAGAGAGAUCCUGCUUAAUAUAUCAUAAGCAUAUGAAAUGUCUAAGAAAACAGCAAAUUUGAUCCGAAGAUUGGGUCACCUUUUUCUGUACUAUGGUUGCUUAAAGAAAGAAUAAGAAGUAAUUACAUAAGAUUGUAUGAUAUACUAAUUACACAAUAACACAAGAUGAACUAAUUACAUAAGAUUGUAUGAUAUACUUAGGACCGCUGAAGGUAAGGUAUAAAUCAGCAUUUUAUAGCCUGAUAUGUAUAUGAAAGCCAAAGUAAUUCAUUAGUGCUGUGAGCAGCCUAAAUUUGCAGACAAGCAGAACCAGAUAACCUUUGUGUCAUCCCAUUCCUCUCUCUCUCUCUCUCCCCCCUCCCCAAUCUGCCCCACUACCUGCCCCACCCCCCGUGCGAACCCACAGAAAAAGACAAACAAAGACUAAGUUAUUUUCUCCAAGUCAUCAACUCAGUUACAUUCAGCACAUUCAUUAAAGAUACAAAUGAAGAUGCAAGAACCGACCUGCUCAGAAUGUGGCAAGUACUUCCCAUCAAAAGUCACAACAACACGCUCUUUUCCAUCCACACCUUUAAUUUUGUCAACAGAACAAUAGAAGUCUAUAGCAGACAUGCUGAAAAUAAGAAAGACAAGAAGAGUAAACUGAUUAUAUGACCAAAAAGUUCAGUUGAAAUCUGUUCAUAAAAAAGGAGAUAGGUUAUAAACCCUUAAAUAUGUAUGAACCACCAUGGCGCCCAUUUCCUAUCACGACAUGCCAUUAGAAGUACAGAAAGCGAGGAACAGAUAUCUAGGUGGAUGCAUGUGCACAAAUCGGAGAACAAACUAUUAGAGGUAUAAUAAAAACUAUUAACGCAAGCUAUAGAAACCAGCUAGUAUUAGAAAAAUGUUCUAAACCUAAUCCUCACAAGGCCAUCAAAAGGGUUUGGUGCAACAGAUGAUGGACUUCUGCUCAAACAUAGCUAUCAAAAAAAAAAGUUUCAGAAUUCUCCUGGGUACUUAGAAGAACCACCAGUAGAGAAUUUAGAUAUUCAGGAGUCAACAUAGCAACUUACAUGCCAUCACCAAAUUCCUCAUUGAUAAUUUCUUUAAUGCUCUCACCAAAAUGCAUAACAGCUUCAUUGAGCCUGCAAAAACAUGAAGGGAGACAAGAUCAGCCUAAACGAAAGUCAUUGAUUCGUAUACAAGUGAGAGUGAGAGACAAGAUCAGCCUAUGAGAAAGUCAUUGAUUCCUAACUAAUAGCUCUCCGUAGAUACUUCUGCAAGCAUUUGGAUUCAACUUUCAUCUUUCUUUAGAUACAAUAUCAUAACAAGAUAAACUUGAAGAAGGGAACAUAAUCACAAAAGGACUUCAGUCUCAACUCACUUGGGAUUGAAAUGACAAUAUUACAAACUUCAGAUAAUCUUUCCUAAUUAGAUAGGAAAUGCAACAAGCAAUUGCACAAGCUUGAAAUUGCUGCAACCUUUACAAUAAUGCAGCCAAGAUUGCUUUAUUUCUCUCACACUUGCAUCUUGAUUCUUGCAAUUCAACAAAUGAAAUGACUUUCCUACCAUGCACUUUCCUUGAACAUCCAAAGAUAGGGAGUUUAUACUACAAUAGUUCAUGGACAAAAAUUGGAGCGUGUCAAAUAGUACACUGAAUUUACUACAAAUUCUUGUCAAUUUCUCUCUUCAAAUACCAUUUCUUUUCAACAAGCCGAUUCGAUGCGGAUCAUCGAAGAGCUACUAUGUAAUCAACUAAAGCAAAAGAAGGCUAACUAGUCACUUUCUUAACAACUUUGUCAUUUUCUGAAAAUUGAUACUAAUACAGAUUGACUAUAGAGGACAAAUAGAACACAAGAAACAAUCCAACAAUAUCCAAAAACUCAAGGUACAUACCAGAAAAAGGACCCAUAAAAUACAAUAAAAUAAAAUAAAAACACAGAAAACAAGAAUUUCAACCAGCCCACAUAAAAAUGUUCCACAAAACAGCAAGAAAUUAAAACACGGGCUAAAACGGUUUACCUAUAAACAGUUGGGUCUUGAAUUAAAUUAGGAUCAUAUGACCUGAGAGGUGGCCGCAUCAUUUCUUGAAUUAACUCCUCAGGCAGCUCAGGCAAGGAUGCUCGUAAUUUAGGGACAGUAUCAGGCUUCAACUGGGCUUGCCUCUUGAAUAGCUGAGCAACAUAAACAUUCGUCAAUCCAGUUUCUUCAGCAAUCUGACCAUAAGUCUUGCCUGACUUGUGCUUCACUGCUUGAAGUUCAGCUGCUAUGCUUAGUUUCUUGCUCUGUUCUGCCAUUUUUGACUUGACAAGAAAAUCGUGAAUCAGCAGCGUUAUAACCACAAGAAAGGCUGGCGGCUACCACUGAAUCAUUUAAGGCGUGGUGGGCAAAUUUACCUCCCAUCAAUUGUCAUAUUAAGUGAUUUCUUAAAAAUACAGAUGAAUACAUAAUAUAUUUAUCUGAUGCAUUUAUUUGAUUCGAUAGUAAUUCGAUUUCCAUCACACUUCUAGAUGCAGAUAAAAUUAACGAUUGAUAAAAAUAAUUAAAAAAAAAAAGAAAAUUAAGCAGGCCAUCAGUUUUCUAUCCAAAGUUGUUCAAAUGGGGCUUGGGGCUACGAUGGGUCGAAUCCAAGAGGAGGACAAGACUCUAAUGUUGGAUGGUCCUUUACUUUUAAGAUCUUCACAUUUGGGCAGUCCAAUUUCAUUUGCUUUAUGGACUUUUGGGCAGUCCAACUGCUUGGGGCGGUUACAUUGAAAAAAAUAUGUUUAAAUAGUAAUUAAAGAAAUGCUUAUAGGUAAUUAUUUUGACAAGACAUGUUUAGGUAAUUAAAGUAAAGUUAGUUUUUUACAAGGACAAAAAUGAAAGUACAUAGAGUGCCAAUAAAAUGUUUACGCCAAACCCCUUCCUCUCUCUUUAUAUAUAGUAUAGAUAUCAUGGGAAUUUUGGUUAGACAUUCAGUUCAUUUUUUCCUCUACCAUUAUAAGAGUUAGAAAAUCCGUUUAAAAUGAAAAGAGGAGAAAAGAAAAAAAAAAAAAAAGGAAAGAAAGAACAAAAGACCUUCGAAACCUAAUACCUUGUUUUUGGUUUGUCUGUACUAGGUUAUUGUAAUCUUUCCCAAGCAACUUAAUUGGUUGUUCCCUAAGCAACUUCGUUGCUUGUAACAGGUUACUUACUACAAUCGUCAAGAGUUGCUUUGUGAAGUAUUUUUACUGCAUGAAAUUGGAAUUGGUCUACAAGAAACUGAAUUCCAGAGUCCCAUAUUUAAACUGAAUUCUUUUGUUAUUGGAGGAUUCCUUAGUCUUUAAACGUUCAUUUUGGUUUUGGUCUUUUGGGCUGUCAGAGUCGAACCAACUCGUGUACUUAACCUCUGCUAUGAAUAAUUUAAAACCAUGUGACAAAUAUAAAAGCUUCUCUGUUCAUAAAUUAACAAAAGGGAGUAGUUUGCACGUAAGGAAUUGUAAAAAUCAAUUCCUUGUUGCAUAAGUAUUUUGGAUAAGAUUCUAGAUUAUCAGCUGAAGGAAAUUAUUCUGUUUUUCUUUUUUUUUUUUACUAUCACUACUAUUUUUUCUUUUCGUGAUAUAAUUUGGUAUUCUGUUUUCUAACAAUUCAUUUUUUCUCAUUGAGGUUGUUGUACAUUUUAUUGUUCUUUUUAACACGUAAAACCAAUUUGUCCAUGUAACAAAAUUAUGAUUGCCAAAUGAUAUGAGAAGUGUGUAGAUACUCUCGCAACUAUUUAUUGUCCUAAACCGAAGCAUCAAUUAUUCAAAGAACACCUGCUUUGCUAUAUCCAUCUUUCUGUGUGAAAGAAAGAAAGUAUGUAUGAAACCGCCGAGCUUUGGCUCUGUGGUCAUAAAAAAGGAAUUAAGUUUCUCUUUGGACUGUAAGUUUGAGAGUUUAAAUUCCACCUGCGGUAAAAAAAAAUCCAAAUGAUGUGCCAGAGCACCUCCUUAUUCUAGUCGAAUCUGUAUACCUGUUAGUCCUUAUGUAGCUUUUUAGGCUCUUCUUCACUGAAGAACAUGAUAGAUUAUGUUACAGAAAUGUUAUCGUUGCGACUAAAAAGGUAUCUGGAUUUUCUUUUAUCUUUUUUUUUGGCAUAUUUUGACUAGGUCGAGAUAAUAACCGGACCAUAGGAAUGAGAGGAAUCCGUCUAGAAGCUUGAAAAAUGCAAGUCAAAGUUGAGUGUAGAAACUGCGGUCAUUGAUGGCAGACGACCAUACUGGAUGAAGAUGAAUAAGAAAUAUAAUAAUGACCAAAAGACCACUAGGAUUUUUUUUUUUUUUUUUGGAUUCCUUGAAGAAUCUAAACGAAUGAUAUAUUUGAACAGAAUUUUAAUUGCUGCUAGUGCUUUGCUUGAUUGAUUCUGGUCUGACUUUCACUGUGUUUAUGUGAUCAUAUGCUACUUUAGUAGGGUAUAUUUGCAUUCUUUCUGGUCUAAAGUGUGCCAUUUUGGCUUCACACAUGCAGAAACUAUGAUAUGAAAUGAAAGAUGUUGGAAAUUGAUACUUUGCAAUUUGUGCUCGUUUGUUUAGUGUUAGGUACCUCAAUCCCAUCCUUUUCACCAGCUGUAAGCUUUGAAUUGGAAAAUUAAUCUCUUCCCUAAAAUCCACAUGUUAUUCUCAUCCCAACUCUAGUCCCAACUUCCUUGUCGUUCUUAAGCAUAUUCAACUCAGACUCAGAAAGUGGCUGCAACUCCCUUCCCCCCCCCCCCCCCCCCCCCCCCACUUUGAGACAUGGUCGGAAAGUUAUGAAAGAACCCCAAACAUAGUAAGCAGAGACAACAUGGUACUCAAAAGUUAAACCUUUUUGUUUUUUUCAAGGUGUCUUUUCCUAAAGCAAAAAUAAAAAGAAGAAGAAAUUACUAUUAGACUUUUUUUAUUUUUGGAAAAAUGUCUGUGUGAUGAAAAGUUAAUUGAAAAUUGAAUUUGAACUUUUCUUAAAUAUCUAAAAUGGCAUGGUCUAGUUAGUGAACUUCUUUUUUUUUUUGUGAAAAAGUUCACUCAACUCCAUGAAACGAGCAUUUUGAAUCAUUCUUUACUAAAUCAAUCGAAAAAUGACCUACAAUUUAAGACAAUUUUGUCCCUGAAAACCUAAAACAGUAGGUCAAUAUAUGCUUCUUUUCCGUUGGUUUACUAGUUAAAUUAGCAAACACGACCCAAAAAAUCCCAUUUUAAGGAGUUGAUCAGUGAUCUUUUUUAUCAAAACAAAAAAGUUUAGUGAUUGGAUUGUGCCAUUUUAAUUAAUUUAGCAACUAUUUUUGCCAUUUACUCAACUUAAAAAAAAAAAAAAAGAAGGUUCUAAUUAACUAGAGCAUUAAGUCCUUGCUCUGACUUUUAAUGCAGAAAGGUUUCCAAAUAUUUCAGUAUUCAUCAUUAACCAACAAAAAGUAAAGCCUUCUUUCACAUCAUUGAUCUAGCAACUGGCUAUACAUUUCCCGCAUGCAAAAAUUGAUAGCAACCUAAAAGGGUGUAAAGUACAAUGAACAUAUACAUUUAUUUCGUAAAGUCAUUUUCGUGAGAAGAUUUGCAUCUGGUAUUCGUAUAUUUGUAAUCAUCACCAUACUUGAAUUUUCAUAAUAAUGUUUCUUGCUUAUCUGUGCCGAUUCUUGUCAAAUCUUUAUUGCAUUCCUUGAAACCAACAGUUACCGACCUCUCACAAAAGAAUAAAGGGAUAUCAUAGCAUAAAACAAAAAGGGCAAAACAAAUAAAUUCUUUUCUGCUCUUGUAAAUGUCAAAUUACGUUAAUACUACUAUAAGAUUGAGGAAAACGACACCGCAUCAUUGCAUGGAAUGUGGUUUGUGAAAUUUUAUUCUCUUAUUCUUCGUAACGGAAUAAUCUUCCACUGGAGCUAAAUCAAGAUUAAAUCCAAAGAGGAGGAUCCGUUAAUCAAGGAUAAAAAAAAACGUGAAGAAAAUUGCCGUAUAUCAAUCAAAUUCAUCUUGGCAUUAUAAGCGUGUUUUUCACUUUUUAUGCCGAACACAAAAGGUCAAAAUUUCUAGUGUAUGGUACAUCUUCAUUACAGAUUUUGCUGACAAGGAAAUACUUCAUGAAGAGUCUUUGCUAGUACACAUAUUGUUCUUUAUGGUUUCCACGGACAGAUCAAAGUUUUAUUGCAAUUGCAAGGGUUUGAAUCUCAAAUCUACGGUCAGACUUGUAUCUUAUACUCGUAUAUAUGAUGGCCAACUCUAUUAAAGCAAGUUGUUAUAGUACAUAUAUCGUUCCUAUUAAUUUUGUUUGUACAUUUUGCGGCAAGUUGUACAAUUUAUCUGAGAGAAAAAGAUCAGAAAUUUGACUUGUCAUAGUGAAUAAAUGGUAUGCAUAAAUUUCUCCUCUUUGAAAUUUGAUUAUAUGUUCAUUCCCUCUCAAAAGUCUAAUGUCGAAAUAAUUUUAGGGUUAAUUACAUGUUGGCCCCUUGAGGUUUGGGCAAGACUAGUGAUAUACCUUCAGAGAAAUGCUGAAAUGGUAGUUUGACUAAAUCUUGAUUUUCUUUCUUUUUUUAAAUAAAAGACGUAAUUAUGAAGAUGGUAGAAAAUACAUCAAUAUGUUAGAGAUACAUGGGGAUUUGAAAAUCAUAAGAUACAAAUUUGUAAUUUCAAAAAUAACUUCAAUCCAGAUGAAUUGUCGUAGUCCAGUAGAUAUGCGAAUGGUUGCUUAUAGUAAACAUUGCUUUAAAUCUAAAGAGAAAUUUAGAUAUGACAAAAUAAAUUUGAAAAAUUUCAGAUUUGUGAAAUCUCAGAUCCUAUAGAAAACUGUCAAAAAAAAAAAAAAGAAAACUCUCACGACGAAAUCUUAUCUUCUUACGAGAGAAUAAAACUUCCACUAAAAGAAUUUAGGAGAGAAAAAACUCCCACUAAAAAAAUCUUAGGAGAGAUUUUAUUCGAAUACAUGGGAAAAAAACUAGAGAGAGAGUUUUGGACUAACAAUCAUUGUCCUAAUAAUUAAAUGCCAAUUUGUACGCCCUUCUAUUGAAACUCUGAUACUUUUUAAAAGUAUAACGGCUAAAGGUUUUCAAUCAAAUGCAUGAAAAUUGUUUUUCAUGCUCCCUUGAGAGGAAAUGAUUGGUCAAAUUUCCACUCACCCAAGAACAUAUCUUGCAUAUUGUCCACGGCAACAUAUUCAAAAUCGGUACUCGUGUUCUUGAUUUCACGGUGUUCAUUUGCUGGUUUAGGCUUUUCAAUUACCCAAGAAAGAGCUUACCAUUUACAUGGUAUAAAAGAAGUAUUGCAUUAUCAUAUAUACCUCGUAGUUCAAAAUCUCUUACACGUAUUCUUCUGUGAUUAGUUUAAAGUUGACUUAAAGUACUUUUUUAACAGCCAUGCUUCUCUGCUUCUUAUAAAAUUAAAUAUAAUAUUUUGGACAAUUUAACGAUCCACAAAUCAUUUAAUCUCUGAAAACUAUUCAAUUUUUUUUUUUUUGUUAAUCAAGUACAUGGUUAAUUAGAAGAUCCAGGUACGUGCCAAAUUAAAAUCCUUGAAUCGAAAUGGAUCUUCAUAAUUCUGUUAAUAAGUACACGGUUACCUUGAAAAUCUAUCAUAUAUAUAUAUGUGUGUGUGUGUGUGUGUGUGUCAAAUUAAGUAAAGCUUGAUCCUAGAAUGUCUGAAAUUUUGUUGAAUUAGUAAGCAGUAAAUGCAAGGUUGCUGAUCAACGUCAUCAUUGCAUCUUAUUUUGCUUGUUCAAUCUGCAAAAGGCCAAUCUUGUCAUUUCAUUAACGAGAAUUUUCUCUUUAGGUUUUACUUCAUUGGUCAAAGCCCGCAAGAAUAUCCAAUUUAGAAUGCAUCUUAUCAUCAUCUUACUCCAAUACUUGGACUUGCUACUAGCUUACUACUCCUCCUAUCCAAAAUUGUUUUUCGCAUUCGAGAUUUCAACUUUUUAGGAGUAGUUUGACGACAACGUCAGUGGAUUUGCUUUCAAAAUUAUCCGUAAAAAUUCAAAUUUUAAAUUUAAAUUUAAUAUGAAAUAUAGAUAAAAAUGAAAAUAAUAUUAAAAAAAUGAUAAAUCUUUUAUACACUGACAAUAUAUACACUGGCAGAUCUAAAUGCAUGCCACAUAUACAAAAUUUGAUAUUUAAAUUCAAUUUUAUAUGAUAUGGCAUUCAUCCAAUUCCGUCAGUAUAUUCAGCGACAGUGUAGGAAAGAUUAAUCCUUCAAAAAAUAGAUUAAAAUUAAUUUUGACUUUAAUAAAAUAAUAAAAUAUUUCAAAAUAAAAAAAUAGCACUUUCAACGUCACAGAGAGCGGAGCACCAUACAGUAAGAUACCCUCGAGAGAAUAUCAUUUCACACUUCACACUUUGACUGAGACAAGCCAUAAAAGAAAAGGUAAGAAGGAACCACGGUACGGGUGCAGGGCGGCUCUAUAAAUGUGGGCGCUGCUUCAAACAUCAGUUGCCAACCAGUACAACUUGAAAAAGUAUAGAACCAAGUUUACCAGCUAGUAGCAGUACUAAUCCAGUUACUCCACCGGCCAGGACAAUAGCAACUACUACUUGAUUUCUUUCAUGGCCUCACUAGAGCUAGCAGAAAAUGGCUCUGAUGGAUACACUCAAGAUGGUACUGUUGAUCUCAAAGGGAAACCUGUUCUUAGAUCGAAGAGAGGAGGAUGGAGAGCUUGCAGGUUUGUUGUUGGUAAUGUCUCUGUAUCCUCUUUUGCUUCCUUCCACCCCAACUGUGUUGCUGUGUGUGCUAAAAUGUUCAUCCAGAUCCUAGAAAUGCAAUGUUCGUUUAGUCUGAAGUAUGUAUCCCCAUGCUUGGCUACAUAGCUCCCUGUGAACUGGGAAGAUGUUCCUGAAAUUGUUCCCUCAUCCUUGCUGUCUUUCUUCUGCCUUCUGUACGAGGGGGAGAUCGGAAGGGCAUAUUCAGGAAUGGAGAAACUGGAAUAUUGGCAUAGAGCAUAUUUUGCUAGAUCAAAAAACCACGAUCAUUUUACUAGAAAUAAAUAAAGCAACUUCUCUUGAUAACACGGUAAACAUUUUUACCCAUUUUUUCUUUUUCUUUGUUCAAAACUCUUUUUUCCUUAAUCUUUUUGCAACUUAUUUCUCCUCAAAUGUCUACCGGAAGAUGACAGCAGAAAAGAACAAGAAUGAAGUCAAAGUCCGAAGCCAAUAGAGUUGAGCUUUAUAUGCAUCACGUUUAAUUAUAUCUUAUUCUUCAAAUAGUACUAAGAUGUAAUCAUGUGUGGACUUGUUCGAUGCACAUUUAUGUUGUUGAUUGGCUACUGGGAUUUAGCUCAGAAGUCAGAACUUCAAAACCAUGAAACUAAUUGCCUGAUUGUUAGCUGUAUCUAUCUAGUUGAAUUUUCAAAUGAUUUUGUACCAUAAGCAGCUUAUCUUUCUUUGUCGAAAAAUUGAUCACGUAAUCUUUUCGUAUAGUAUUUUUUUUUUUUUUUUUUUUGCGUUUAAACAUAGAAUUGGGAAAGUUUUUAUUAUGUCCUUCCAAAGGAAUUCGAUCACGUCAAUGCAUGUUGUUUUGUAUCAUCUGUUUCAGUGAGUUGAUUCCAUUUUUUUUAGUGCUCCUAUAUUGUUUAUUGUCCGACUAAAAGUGCAAUUCGGCAAAACUCUCUUUUUUUUUUUAAAUAAGUGAGAGGUCUUGGAUCUACCUCGACAUUUCUCGACUUUCUACUUACAAUUUCUCUCAUCUUAUAAUUCAAUCCAACCUCCUCACGGCAAAACUCUUUUCCAACCAAAAUUUCAAAAUCAACAGGUUCUUUUAGACUUUCGAACCACAAUCUUAUAAGUUAUAAGAUACAAAGAUUACAAAAAAAAAAAAAAAAAAACCUGCCAAUCCAAUUAUUCACUUAUGAUAUCGUCAUAAUGAUGACUGCCAAGAAUGAAUUCUUCUUCCCUGGUUGCAAAAUCAUACGUACAUACGUACAAGAAUACAUGAGCAUAUAUAUACAUUUAUAUUGUGCUACAUCAUUGGCCACCCUCCAACUAACAUGGCUUUAAUUAUCAUAUACUUAUUACAUACUUUAUCAAUCAGUUAUUUCUUCCAAUUUUUUGCUUAUAUAUCCCAUACUUUUUCGUUUGUUUUGAUGUUUCCUCGUUUUAAUCGACUUUGUACAGUGUACGAGGUGUUCGAACGUAUGGCAUUCUAUGGAAUAUCUUCGAAUCUCUUCAUAUACUUGACCAAAAAGCUCCAUCAGGGCACAGUUACAUCAGCCAAUAAUGUCACCAAUUGGGUAGGAACCGUCUGGAUGACUCCAAUCUUGGGUGCAUAUUUUGCUGAUGCUGUUCUUGGCCGCUAUUGGACGUUGGUGAUUGCAUGUGCAAUAUAUCUCUCGGUAAGGCUGCAUGUACAGCAUCAUCAUUUUGUUCAUAACAUAAAAAAAAAAAAAUUGAAAAUUUUUUUUAAGGUGCCACGGUUCUAAAAAUGUGCCAUAAUAUGAAAUGAAACUUCUAUAAGUUAAAAGAAAGAUCAUAAUCCACAGCUUAUCUAUUCUUUGAUGUGAACUCCCAAAAUUACUUCAAGUUUGACAUUUAUUCAAAAAAAAAAAGGUAAUACAAAUUAAAUAAGAUAGGAAAGAAAUAUUAAUAUUGUCUUUCACAAAAGAAGAAAAAAAAUGACUAGUAUGCAAUUACAGUACCUUUGUCCACCCUGAAUCUGAAAAGAGGUCGGGAUUCAAGGAAUGGAGAUUGACUUAAUUAAAGUUGUAGUUUGAGUUGGAAGUGAAUCAAGUGAUUGAGACUCAUCAAUAAGCAUUUUUCAAAGUGAUGAUUGAGCAUUUUUUAUUAAACAGGCUGGCAUGGAUAGACUUUGCUAACGUAUUGUUUCUCUGUUCUAUAGUACCCUAGUUAUCAAGACCACUUUAAUAAUCUAGCUAGAAUAAUUAUUUAAGCUUCUAUCAAGACAAAAAAAAAUAAAUUAAUUCAGAGUGUUAGAAUCAAGAUCUAUCAAUUUUUUUUUUAAAAAAAAUUGUAUUUUAUCCGUAGCCGUUUUGUAUCUUCUGAAACAAUCUGAUCCCAAGAAAUUAUUGUAUACGACAAAUUGAAAAAAAUUGUAUUUUAUCCGUAGCCGUUUUGUAUCUUCUGAAACAAUCUGAUCCCAAGAAAUUAUUGUAUACGACAAAUUGACCUCAACCUCUUUGGAUAUUCGUGUAUGAUGUAUGCAAGACAAUACAACUUGUGGCAUGCUGGUCCAUGAUCUGGAACUUAAGGUGAAAAGACUUUCUUAGCUGCUACUACUAUUAAAUAUGGUCAAUUUUGAAGCUAUCACUUUCUUGAAGAAAAGUACAAAAUGCCGCUAUGAUAAUUAUGCAUAAGCUGUAAAUUAAUAUUUAUUUCUUACUUGAAAAAUCACCACAAUUCAAAGAUUCUUUCAACGUUCAAUAUUGUCUCCCCAAUUCAAAGAUUCAGCAUCAAGUAGGCAUACUUUAUGUUCAAUUAUCUUGAACCCGAUGGAUCAUUCCUUUUUUUUACAAUAUACGAAUUGGGAAUUUCACCAAGUCGAUUGCUUAACGUGACAUCGCAUUAAAUUGUCACAGUGUCUGGCUUAAUUUUAACUCUUUGGAUAGGUCAUCUUGUUUAUAGUAAUAAGCUUGACCACUUGGCAUCUCUUAUACUAGCUGAUUUUUCUGUUGAUGAUUUGUUAAUUAUUUACAUGCACAUCUACUUUCAUUAGUUAAUCAUCAAGCAAGCAUGUUUUAUUUUAUGUUUUCGGUCAUUUUCUAUAUACCUUGUCUGACUUCCUUGGUCAUUGAGGUCUUUCAACCUUAUCUAGAUGGUAACUUGUAGUUUCGUUUGUCACGUAUUUAUUAUUGACUUGUUAUUUCAACGUCCAUUUUCCUAAGCAGAUAGGCCAUAGAAAAAGGGGUAGGAUGUAGUAUUUAUAUUGAAACUCUUUUUAUGGGAAGCAAUUACGUAUAUGGAUUGAUGUUAACGUAGUCAUUUGACAAAAGUGUUUGAGAAAUUAAUUGGAUUUGGACCUUAAUAAAAAGUAAUGAGACGGAUAAUGAAAGGAAGGUAGGAGUUUGUCGUUGAGAUGAAAAAUUAGUCCACUGGAUUAUAUCAAUUUAUAAAUUCUUCCGAGUCUCUUAUUAUUCUGGAAUGAUGAUUUAAAAACUAAUCAGAAUUUUUCCACCCCCCAAAAAAAAAAAGAAGAAGAGAAUAAAGGGUCAAUUUGGCCAUAUAAUUUCAAUUGGCAAGGUAUAUGUUAGGGUACAACUCCAGUCUGUAAGAUUGAUACUAGAGAAACAUUGAAUGGUACAACUCUAAUGGAAAUCGCUGCUCUUCAAGAACUUAAUUUUAGUGAUUAUUAUCUCAUUUAUCUGUUACUGCAUACUAUCAGGGAAUGUCUUUAUUGACACUAGCAGUUUCAGUCCCCAGACUCAGGCCGCCCCACUGUGCUGAUCCAAAGGGCAUCAAUUGCCAGAAGGCCGACAAAUUGCAAUUAGGAGUAUAUUUCGCUGCCCUCUAUAUACUUGCAGUUGGAACUGGUGGCACAAAACCAAAUAUUUCAACAAUUGGUGCUGAUCAAUUUGAUGAAUUUGACCCCAAAGAAAAGCUUCACAAGCUUUCCUUCUUUAAUUGGUGGAUGUUUGGCAUAUUUCUUGGGACACUUUUUGCCAACACAGUUCUUGUUUGGAUUCAAGACAAUGUGGGAUGGACUCUCGGUUACGGCCUUCCUACGACUGGACUUGCCAUUUCUAUACUGAUAUUCUUGGCAGGCACACAAUUUUAUAGGCAUAGAAUUCCUACUGGAAGUCCCUUUACAAGAAUGGCCCAAGUCAUAAUUGCUUCCCUGAGAAAAUGGAAGGUUUCUGUCCCUAGUGACCCUAAAGAACUAUAUGAGCUUGAUCUUGAAGAGUAUGCGAAAAAUAAGAAAGUCAGGAUUGAUUCUACACCUUCAUUGAGGUUUGCACUACUCAAAUCUAUUAUCCCAGUAUUGGAAUUUGGCUAAAUAAGGAGCUAAAUAGGGAAAAAGAUUAUUGCAUUUUUUUUCUAAUAUAAAGUAUUCGGGCUUCUUUCUGCUGAUCUAGUGCAUUGUUGAUCAUGCAGAUUUCUAAACAAAGCUUGUGUAAAAACAACUUCCACCAAUCCAUGGAUGCUCUGUCCAGUUACCCAAGUGGAGGAAACUAAACAGAUGCUACGAAUGAUUCCCAUCCUAAUCGCUACAUUCAUUCCAAGCACAAUGAUUGCACAGAUUAACACACUUUUUGUCAAGCAAGGUACAACUCUCAACAGACGUCUUGGUGGCUUCAAUAUUCCACCAGCAAGCUUAGCAGCAUUUGUAACAUUAAGCAUGCUGAUCUCCGUCAUAUUAUAUGACCGAUACUUUAUGAAAAUCAUCAGAAGAUGGACUAACAAUCCUAGAGGAAUUACUCUGCUUCAGAGAAUGGGAAUUGGAAUGAUUCUGCAUAUUGUUAUAAUGACAGUGGCAUCGCUAACUGAGAAAUACAGGCUUUCCGUGGCCAAAGAUCAUGGCCUAGUGCAAAAUGCAGGUCAAGUGCCUCGGUCCAUAUUGCUUUUGCUUCCUCAAUUCGUUCUUAUGGGAGUAGCUGAUGCAUUCCUGGAGGUAGCAAAAAUCGAGUUCUUCUAUGAUCAAGCACCAGAAAGCAUGAAAAGUCUUGGAACAUCUUAUUCCAUGACUACCUUAGGAGCUGGAAAUUUCAUCAGCAGUUUUCUUUUGUCUACAGUUUCUCGUAUCACGAAGAGGGAUGGGAACGAAUGGAUUCAAAACAACCUUAAUGCUUCUCAUCUCGACUAUUAUUAUGCAUUUUUUGCAGUAUUAAACGUCUUGAACAUUAUCUUUUUCUUGAUUAUGACCAAGCUUUAUAUAUACAAGGCAGAAAUUUCGGAUUCGAUGGUUGUGCUCAGAGAAGAACUUGGGGGAUUGAAGAGUAAGGUAACCGAUGAAGAGGCAACAACAACAUAGGUUGGUGGAUCUGCAGUUAUCAAAGGGAUGUAUAUUGUUAUGUCUGUAAUUUAGAGAUAAUGAAUAUCAUUUUUCUUUUUCAUCUCGAGGGAAAUUUUGUGCUAUCACUAUAAUUCUUCGUUUAGUAUUGCUACUCUUCUGAUCCUCAGUCCAAUUUGCAACUCGUAACAGAAAAUGCUAGUAUUAGGUGACAGGACUCAUUAACUACUAAUUUGUUUACUACCUUUUUAACUUUGCAGCCAGCCAUUUACAACUCUUCUAUCGUUUAAUUCACCAUAUUACUUGCAUUAUGUGAGAAUGUUCUCUAUAGAUACUUCACAAGAUACAGGUUUUAGGUUGGUAAUUGCUUCUGAAGUUGCUUAAUUUAAGUCUUCUGACUCCCUUUGAUCGGGCAUCAAGUUCUGGUGAUAUGAUUCUUGAUUUACUUUAUACUGUAUCUUCAUUCAAAUAUUAACACUGUUUCUAUCCUUAAAUUAAUUCUCAUAUAGUAGCUUUUUAAGCAUGGGGAAUGGAAUAUUAGAAGCUAUGCUAUUCCACUUCAAAACAUGAAAAAAGCCAUCAAUUUUGAAGGCCAGAAACCUUCAUUUAGAAAGCAAACUCCUUCCCUUCUUCCUUUUUUACUUUUCUUUUUGGUUUCUUUUGUAUCAUUGUUCGUGGCAUCUCCGUGGAUGGAGAAAGUAGAACAUUUUUUUUUCCACCUUUGUCGCUAAGUUAAAAGAACCCUUAGUGCCUAGACUUUACAACAUUCAAUGUGCUCAUGACUUCAGCAUUUGUUCUAUCAGUAUUAGACCUAUCUGUGUUCACUACUUUCACAAGCUCUACUUAAUUAUUAGCUUUGAAACAAAUUAGCAAUUAUUGAGAUUCUACUAUGGUAUUCAAUCAUACUUUAAAUCAUGACUAGUGAUUUCAGAAGGUACUAAACAAGGUAGAAAUUGGCAUCAUGUACAAGAAGCCUAUGUAUUCAAAGCUCUUAACUUUGCCUUGUUUCAGUUUUCAGGGGCCUCACUGAACUGAAUGCAAACUUGGUUUAUAUUCAUUGGUUGGUUAAAAAAUCAACUUCUAAUUUGAUUUCACAACGCACUUUAUCAGUACAAAUUGAAUUUUUAUCACGUAGAGCUCCUUGACUAAGGUAAAAAUUUCAGUUUUCUCCAUGGCAUAGUAUCAAUAUUCUUUGAUUUUCCACAGCAAUUAGAAUUUUAGAGCUGGAAAAAUUCUUUGAUUGUUAUUCUUUAUGACGUUCAAACUACACUGGAAAAGCAGUCUUGGUGUAGAAUAGUCAAAUUAUGUGUAAUUUAUAAUCCCAUUAAUUAGUGGAUCAUGUGAAGCUGAUGGGAAUUAAUUUUACUAAAGUUGGAAUAAUGUGCCACGAAAUCGCAACCUCCAGUUUGAACAUAAAGCUCUUUGAAUAAGAUUAACCAGCCUAACUCAACUUUUUCUAGUACAGCACUAUUCUACUGUAAAGUGAAUCCAAAAUUAUUUUAUACAAAAUCCCAAAUCUGAUGAUGCCUUCUGUCCCUCCAAUGAAUAGCUAUAUAAAUGGGACAACCCCAUCCUUGCCCUACAAUUCCCCCCACCCUAAAUGCUUAAUCAUCUUCACUUUUGACUUUGCAAUACUAAAAAGGCAAAGGUGUCACUUACUCACCUAAGGAUAUAUUAUUAUUACUACAAUGUACUCCCCAUAACAUUCAUGCUAGUUUUAUUUUUCUAGUUUUGAGGUUUAAGAAACACCAAGAAGAAGAAACCAAAAUGGCUUAUUGACUUUAAAUGGACCACUGCCUCAUGUGUGUAAUCCAGUAUAGUGAAGUUGAAAGGCAUGAUCAAACAAUUGGUAAAUAUGGCUUUUAGCGGUUUCAUAACAUAUUAGCCACUAAACCUUUCUUAUUCACAAAAACAAUUAUUGUGAUGCAUGCAAGUGAAUGAACAAAGACAUAUUUGCUGUUUUUCUAAUUUAUGCUUGGCGGAAUCCAAGAGUCAACCUCUAGAGCCAUUUACCUAUAAUUCAUGGUCCUAAUGCUGCUAGAACCUGGGAUACAUGCAAUAAUAAUACCUACAAUUACAACAAUCAGUAUUCCGAGGAUCGCUAAUAUGGGCUACGUACGCUAGUAAGUUGUGUGAUGAUUAUCACUCCUACCUACUCUUAAUACAGGACUAUGGAAAAUCAGAUUUCUUUGUGCCAAACUGAAAAUUAUCAUGAAUUAAAAUUACUAAGAUCACUGGCGGAGAGAGAGGGGUGGUCAUCCGCGAAGAUCUUAGGAAUCCCUUUCUAUUCCCUUAAAGGAUUAAUAGUUUGGACUUUUAUCCUUGUAAAAUUGAGAUCUUGGCGAAACCCAUCCAAGUUCUUCACAAAAUUUCUAAGGGUACACCUUCAAUAAACAUCUUUCCUAGUUUUGCCCUCAUAACUCUCAACCUUUGGUUCUGUCAAUGAGUCAGUCGAAUCAACUUCAAAAGUAGAGAAAAUGAGAAAAAAAAAAAGGAUUCAUUAGAUUAUUCAUAAUUUCUUAGUUUGGUCAUUAAAUUAAACUUUUUAUUUAGUUAAUUGUCAUUCAACUAACAAAACAAUACAUUUUCUGUCACUUAAUUAAUAAAAACUUGUGCUUCUGAUCAUUCAACUAAUGAAAAUAUACACUUGUUGGUCGCAAGAAGAAUGUUUUAAUUAGCUCAAUUACCAUUUGGCUGAAUAAAAUGUUAGGUGACUAAAAUAGGGAGUCGUGAAUAGUUUAGUAGCAAUUUGUAUUAUUUGCUCUCGGAGGUAAUGCUUUCCAAAUCUUUCAUGCUCUUUCUGGAUUCCCUAUCACAAGACUUUCACGAUAAAUUCAUCAAGCUAUUUCAACGCUCGAGUCCAUUCAAAUGAAUAUUAAUCCACUCCAAUGAAAUCAUCAUGAUGUCCUAAAGACAGCUAGAAAUCCCACUAGUGCUAUUCAAAGGGCCGAAAUCCCUUCUUUGAGGACGUUGAAGAUUCAUCCCUUUUUUUGGUUUUUUUCUGACGAAUCUUUGUACUUGCUUGACAGCUUUUAUCAAUUGUUGAGCAUGCAUUCUGGCAAUAUUGCAAGCAGCAUUGAGAUGAGAUGAGAUGAGAUCUUCUGGGGAUAAGAUUGGCUUCACCUUCAGAAGUGUGAAGCAACCACUUUCGGUGACCAGUCCUUUUCUACAGCAAAGAUUCUCUUUGUUUCAGACUUUCAUUGCAUUCCAUGACAGAAUCCAUAAGUUGCUUUUGAGAAGGUUGUUUACCAAUCAUAUUUGAAAGUAAGGCAAUAAAUUUGCUUCACAAUUUUUGCUUUCCUACCUAAUGUGAUAAAAGGGAUAGUAAUAGACUGAUAGUUACAAAUCAUAAUUAAAAGUCCAAAACCUUUUUGCCAUUCCUCAUAGAAGCUUCUCAUAGUUACGUGACAAGUUGACUAUUUCAAUAAAAUGAUAAGGUUGGUUCUUAUUCUCUUUCUGUCAAAAAGGGUAAAUUUGUAGCUUCGGAUGCUGAAACAUAUUGCCUGCGGGGAAGAAUUAAUCAUAGUAGAGGAUAAACAUAUGACCAAACUGAGAACUGAUUCUUUUAGUCAAACUUCUUUGCUGCUAUUUAUCAGAGGCAUGCAUGAGGAACAUAUCCUGAUAAACUUAUUGGAUGUGCAAAGCACAGAAAGAGAAAAAGAGAGCAAAAAAAAGGCCUAUUUUAAUCAAGGAGAUAUUGUAAUAAUUUCGUGGCUAGGUUCUCCUUGUCUGAACUUGGACGUAUGAAAUUAAUUGUUAUAUACUGUGUUUAAGGUAGUGUAAUGAAACUCUUUUAAGAUGUAAAUUCCAUGUGUAAUAGGACAAUAGUGUACAACUUUAUCAAUUUUAUUCCAAGGUAUCCGUGAGCUGGUUUACCAAUGGUCUCCUGACUAGAAUCUUAAGAAUAAUUAGGCCAAGGCCUCGCAAAACAUGUCAAAUGUUUAAUUGCUUAAUGCAAUUAACAAGCCGAAGAAAAUGACCCAAUGUAAAUAUCAACUAAACAGACAUAUAAUAUAAGAAAACAACAACUUAGAAACACUAAGAACUGCUAAUAGUUCUUCAAUACAAGAUAACUAGUAUUAAAUGGUGGCCAUUAAUAUGUAAUUAUUUGUUACCAUCCUCGUGGAGUGAAAGCCCUUUAUACCCCCAAUAUCAGGUAAAUCCUUGUAUAAACCAGCUGCCUUAGCGUACUAGUUAACAAUUUGAGUGCUUUAGUCAGUACAUGACAGUUUGUUAAAAGAGUAAAUCUUAUAUAUACUGACAGUGUAUACAUUAUCAUGGCUGGAUGCACGAUAUAUAUGUAAAAUUUGGGUUUUAAAUUCAAAUUUGAAUUAUAUAUCAUGCAUCCAAUGAUGAAAGUGUAUACACUGUCAAUGUAUAGAAAAUUAAUGCUUGUUAAAAGCUUAAUACAUGAGAGCUUAAAAUGCUUAAAUUUAAAAUAAUAUACAAGCAUUUCACUAUAUGACACUCAAAACAUUAUUUACGUAUCUAAUAAGGGCAAGGUGUUACAAGAAUUGCAGUAAUCGAUCCAUUCCCGUGAUGUUUUACAACUUGGCUACAUGGCAAUUGACAUGCUUAAACCAAAUUAGUGACAUAUGAUCCAUUAAUUAUUCACUGACCAAAAUAUUCAAAUAAUGAUGGACAAAUUCAAAUUGUUACAAGAUGUUCAUACUUCACAGGCCUCGUUUUUAUUGCAUAUUAUGCAUGCCUUGCUCGGGUGAAAUUUGAACACCAUCAGAGUGAAACUAAUUAAGAGCAUACAUCCGAAUUAGAGAAACAACAGGUGACUUUUUAAAAAAAAAAAAAAAAAAUUUCCAACAGUUUUUUUUGUGGGGGGGGGGGGGGGGGGGUGACACUGAAGAAGUGGGGAUAGGGCAUGAGGAUUUAAAUUGGUCACGUUAUGACAUGGCAAAUCUAUAAUUGAUUUUGUAUGCCUUGUUGGUGGUUUUGUGGACCUCUUUUGUGGGAAGUUGAGUUGGGGUGGGCAGAGCACGUAUGGACGGUUGCUCUUUCUUUGAUCCUUUUUCUUGGCUGUUGAGAAGGGGACAAAGAGAUGAGAACUGAGAAGUAACAAGAAAGUAUCCGCAAUGAGUCCCCUUGGCCGUUUGUCAACUCUCACGAUCAACUAGAAUGAUAAUGACCCUUUGUUUAGGGUGACUUCAAAAGAAGCAAGGAAUCCAGAGAAGACCCUUUUUCCGCCGCGACAAAGGCUAAUUUGACAGGAGUUGAGGUUUGGCAAUAGUAAUCAAGCAUAAUUUUCUCACUUGUAAGAAAUGUAUAAACUUUUUUCAGUAGAUAAGCUCAACGUGUUUUCGUGCUUGGAUUUUUCUGAGGGGGAUUGCAAUGGAAGUGAAGAUUUUGGUACCUAAUGAUUGCUCUUGAUUGAGAGAUAUGAUAACGACUUCUAUGAACAUGAGUUUUCUAUAAUUAUCCUUUCUGUCUAAAAUUUCUUUGUGAUUCUCUAAAUGUUCCUAGAUUGUCCUUCAUCUCCUCUCUUUUUUAACUAUCUAAAACUGCAGUCUUAUAAGAGGCAACAACAGCAACAGUCUUAGAGGACAUUGAGGAGCUGAAGAAAGAAUUUCAAGAGUGCAACUUUUCUUUUGUGUAUAGAACAGGCAACACGUGUAGCCAUACACUAGCUCAAAAUGCAAUUAAGCUAGUACAUGACAUAGAAUGAAACAAUGAGUUUCCGGUAUGGCUGAUGGAUAUGGCUCGGAAAGAUAUGAGGGCAAUUGCCCCGUUUUGUAACUAACUCUUGUAUUAUCAAGUUUAAUAUAUGAAAGUACUAAUUCCGUUUGUUGAAAAAAAAAAAAGAGGCAACAACAGCAAAAAUUAAAUAAAAACAAUACCAAAAUAAACAAAAGAACCAAGCUUGGUUAUUAAGUUUUUUUGGGGUAAAAAAAUAGGAAUAAUGUCAUUUUGAGGUCUCAAAUGUUCUUAUGCUAAGACCCUUAUGAUCAUUCAACAAAAAACUGGCUGGCCACUUUUGUUUAUCAUUUCAUUUAUUUAGUUUAGUCACUGUGCUUUCAGUGAAUAUUCAGUCUUGCAACCUCGCUAGCAAAUCAAACAGCUCUGUUUGAUAACAAGACUAUCUAGAAUGUAGCAAAAUAAUUUUAAUGUAAUGAACUUCUAAAGAUACAAAAAUAAAAUGAUUGUGGAUUAAAAUUAUAAAUUAAAAAAUAUAAUCAAAUAACUUGGCAUUUGGAAUAUCAUAAAUUUGUUAUUUUUAUUUGUUUUGCACCAAAAUGAUAUCCAAUAGUAUCAUCUUAGCUGUAGUGGGACUUAUGAGUGGUCUAAUCUUCUACAUGCAUAUUAGCUACAGUAAUUUGCUUUAAGGUUUUUCUGCAAUACGACAAAAUACUUGGGCUUGACAUCCAAAUCUCAGUCUUGUAAUUGACACCAAUGCAGAAGCACAAAGUUGACUACAGACUAUACUGAAACUCUUGGAAAUGUCGAGGACCCCAAGUUAUGGGGCUAAUUUGCCGAGUUUCUUAGAAAAAGUGUUGUCUCACGCCCCUAUGUAUUCUCUGCCUACCCACUAGAGCUGUUAAGUCAAUCGAGUAGCUCGAAAGCUCGUUAGAGCUCGACUCGUUAAGGCUCGAGCUCGGCUCGUUAAUUUUGGUUAACGAGUCGAGCUCGAGCUCGAAACAUGCUCGUUUAGUUAACAAGCCGAGUAAGCUCGGCUCGUUUGAUACUCGAGUAGCUCGUUAGAACUCGUUAAUGAAGGGCAUAUUUGUCAUUUUAGAAAUUAAAAUUAUAAAAAUUAAAAAUUAUAGGUUUUUAUUUAGGUUAAUUUGCACGAGCUCGUGAAGCUCGACUCGUUUGUGAUAAACGAGUCGAGCUCGAGCCACAUGUACACUUAACGAGCCGAGUUCGAACACAUUUUAAAGCUCGUUUUCCUAACGAGCUCGAGUCGAGCUCGGCUCGAAUUAAACUCGAGUCGAGCUCGGCAGCCAAAUACUCGGAUCGACUCGGCUCGAUUAACAGCUCUACUACCCACCUGUGUCGAUUUCGGGUAUAAGAAGGCUAUAUCCACCCGUGUCGAUUCCUUAGAGAGAGUUGUCUCGCACCCCUAAGUAUUCCUUCUGCAUUUUUUCAAGCAAGAAGGAAGCUAAAGAAGGUUUAACUUCAUCAGAAUCAAAGGCUAAAGAAACACCCAAUGCCCAACAAAAAAGACAGAUUGUUUUUGGAAAAAAAAAAAUAAAAAGAAAGAACACAAAUAAGAAGGGAGACAUCUAAUGAUUAAUGAACCGAGUGGCCAUGGCCAACCACAUCAUGCACCAGUGUCAUGAUCAUUGACGAAGUUAAAAAAUUCAUUUCGAGGGGGCAAAUUUAAAUAUACCUAAACUUAUAUAUAAUAUAAUAUAUUUUUUAAUUUUUAUGGGAUAAAAUUUUAAAUUUAUAAAAAAUAUUCUAAAAAUUUCUAAUUUUAUAAAAGAUGAAAACUUAGGCCCCAUUUAGAUUGCUAUUUUUUGAAAUUUUUGUGAAUUAAUAUAUUAUAACGAUUAAAUAUAUAUGAGAUAAAAUGAUAAUUAAUAAAUAUGUUGACUAAAAACGUACAAAUUUUUCUACAAAAAAAAAAAAAAAAUCACACUCCAAACAAGGCCUAAAUCAUCUAAAAACUUUGGGGGCGGGACAUUCCAUCUUUGGCCAUGAUAGCAACAUUCAAACAGAAUUAAUGUGUUGGUUGACACAUGGGAGGUUAAGGUUUCAUUUGAUAAAACUGAAUCUGAAUUCUGAAAUCUGAAUACUGAAACAAUUAAUUUGCUGAAUUUUAAGCACUGAAAAGAAAUAUAUGAAUGUCUAUAUUUUAAUGCUAAAUCUAUUUAUACUGUUUAUAAAUAUGUAUAACUAAAUGUUUAAUAAGUUAAAUUUGACAAUUUUGCUCUUAUAUCUUUUCAUCCAAAAAGAAAUAGAACCUAUGAUUUAAUUAACUAAAAAUGUUAGGUAUGAAAAUUACAAUAUUUAUUUUUAAAUCAAAUUAAUAUAAAAGAUGAAAUAUAUUACAUGAGGAGUAUACAGAAGAUGUGAAAGUCAUUCAAAAGGGAGAAAAGAGAAAUAGAAAAUCAUUAGAUAGAGAAUAUUAGGUUAUUUAAUUAGAUAAGAAUUUUGAACAUAAUUAACAAAUAAGGGUAGAUUUGGUAGAUAAGAUAAGGUAAUUGAAGUAAUUUUAUUGAUUCUUAUCAGAAUUAAGCAUUCAGUUAGGAUUAAAAAUACACACAAUUUCAACACUACUUAACAAGUUCAGCAAAUGAAUUUCCAUUUAUCAAAUACUCAAAACAUCUGAAUGUCUGAAAAAGUUCAGAUUUAUCACUUGUUUAUGUUAUUAAACAGACCCUAAAAGAAUACUACAACUGUUGAUUCGGAGCCCACCAUUUGGAUUCCUAACGAUUGUUUUCAUUGUUGUUUGACAUAGAAUUGCGUGAGUGACAGUUGAUUUUAGUUAAAAAAAUUUCUGUCAACAUAAAACAUCAAUGAUCAAUCGAUAUUGAUAUUUGGGAAUUCCGAAAAAAGGUUCAAUUAGAAGCUGACACUAUCCAUCUCUAGUGGUGUGAUGAAUGAUGAUAACUACACAUCAGUGUGUAGGAGGACAAAUUAAGUAUCCUAGUAAAUUGAGCACCACAAGAUUCAAGAACACCUGCAUCAAUUGGUAUUUGGGACUAAUACGUUUUUUUAAUACGCUAAUCCCAUCUACAACAAGGUGAAAGCAUUAUUAUGUGGCUAACUCCACUUAAGAUUAUAUUCUUUAGUAGAAUUCAUUCUCAAUGAAUUCUUCCACUAAUAACAGUCAAAAUGAUGCUUUUUGCCUCUAAGAGUUAGUUGUCUGAAUGAUGCUCAAUUUGGUUAAUGUGGCUUUCAUUUAGUGGUCAAAAGAAUCCAGAGGAUGUGCUUGAAGAGUUGAAAGUAAAAUGCACGGCGGGAUUCUAAUUCGAGCUCUCUCUCUCUCUCUUUGAUAAUAACAUUAUUAUUAUUUCUCUAACAUUGCACUAAUAACAAAAAUUACCUCAAAUAUAUACACAUACAAACAGAUCUUAAUAUAAACUGACUAGUUAUCAGUUCAAUCCCAGUAUGUUUGCAGUUUAAGUUGUACUUUAACUAUAUAUAUAUAUGUGUGUGUGUGUUGCUACUCAUGGUUGGCUAACAACAAUCCACAAGACCUAACAAGGAGCCGUCUGUUCAGACUUGAAAGGGCGUUUGAUUGUGAUAAAACAAUCUCUCUUGUCCUGUUGUAAAACGAGGGUUCAAUUUAAUUCCAUUCCGCCUUCCUCAUCCUUCUUUCGUACCCCAAAAAAAAAAAAAAAAGAAUAGCAUAUAUUUUGGUCCACACUGCGAAAUGGUCUCUUACCCUGAUCAACUUCUCCCAAAAAAAAAAAAAAGAAAAGAAAAAAAAGUGCAACUUGAAUAAUAAAAAGAUAACAAAUUACUUGAUAGAAUUUCAGGAUGCAACGAGUUCAACAAAAAGUUUCUACUUCCCAACAGGCAACAGGCAACAGGCAACAGGCAAUGGCGAGAGAGCAACAGGAGAUCUAAGACAGGAGAGCUUAUUUGAUAUUACUAAUAACUAAUUGUCCAAGGAGCAGCCACUUGAGCUUCAGCGGCAACUUUUACUUGAAAAUCUAGCGUACUUCAAAUCCUUCAAUUAGUAAUUGAAUAUGAAAUAGAGAUCUUUGUAUCAAGACAAAACGGAAAAAGUAAAUAGCCAAAUUUGAUUUAAAAAACUAAAAAUUAACAUCAACAUCGGAACUGAUACUUAAAGAAAAAAAAAAAGUCAGCAUUGGAGCGCACAGCAAUCUGCCGGCAUAAUUGAAGUUUUCACGAUCUCAAAUAGCGCUUAAAUGGAAAAGGAAAAGAUGAACAAAGAGGCCGAGGGAAAAAUGGAACGGUGUGAAAGAAAGAGAAAAUAAAAAGAAGAAGAUAGAGAUGGAGGCUAAUAAGGAGGCGAGGAAUUAUCUUUAGAGGGCUGGAAAGGUCCUAACUUGGAGAUGGUUGUCUACACCAUAGUUAUUAAACCCGGCCCGGGGAGGAACUCGGUGAAAGAGGUGGGUCAACAGAUUACUGGUUCAACCAGUAGGUGAGUGGUCCAACCUGUGGGUCACUAAAUAUACUUAAAUAUUAUGUCUUAUAAUUUUUUAUAUGGUUGAAAUUAUAAUAAACUAUGUCUUAGUAAAUGUUCAAUUAGUCUAAUUUAUUAUAGAAUCAUUAAUUCUUAUAAGAAUCAACAAAACUUAAAUUUGCCUUAUGGAAAUUUCAUUAUUUUUAACAAACUUUUGGUUUUAACUUUUGGAAAUAAACUAGAUAAUGUUAUUUUAUUAAAAUUUGCCUCAUGGAAUUUGGGAAAUAAAUAAAAUUUUAUUAAAAGAUUCCAAAUAAAUUUUGUUUUGAAGAAAUAAAAUAAGAAUAAAAGUCUAAUAUAUAAUAUAAGAAGUACCAAACAACUAACAAAUGGAUUGUUGGUCUAGUGGUGAUUGCACUACAUUCUUAUACUUGAGGUCCCAAGUUUGAACCAUCAAUGCAACAUUUUCUAAAAAAAUUUCGCACAGCAACUGAGUUCCUUAAAGUCAAUGGUUCUACUGUCCAAACGAUCUAAUUAGCAACCCGGUUCGGUUCUAUGGCCGGUUCACCGGGUUGAUCGGUUGAACCGCUGGACCGGACCGGGUUUAAUAACUAUGGUCUACACACCAGACAAAAGGAUCUUUUGGGUUAUUAUUGUCAACCAAAACAUCCUUUGGGUUAUUAUUGUCAACACAGUUUUUGUGACGGUCACCUAAUCACCAAAACAUCCUUCUUCAAGGCAGAUCCUAAUCACCAAAACAUCCUUUUUCAAGGCAGAUGAAAAAAGAUGCAGCUCAAGCAGAUGGGCAAAACCGUAAUCUGGAUCAAUGGACAUGCAAAAGGCUGUAGUACAGUGAGCAUGACAGUAGAGUUGUUAAGUCAAUCGAGUAGCUCAAAAGCUCGUUAGAGCUCGACUUGUUAAGGCUCGAGCUCGGCUCGUUAAUUUUGGUUAACGAGUCGAGCUCGAGCUCGAAACAUGCUCGUUUAGUUAAUGAGCCGAGUAAGCUCGGCUCGUUUGAUACUCGAGUAGCUUGUUAGAGCUCGUUAAUAAAGGGCAUAUUUGUCAUUUUAGAAAUCAGUAUUAUAAAAAUUAAAAAUUAUAUGUUUUUAUUAAGGUUAAUUUGCACGAGCUCGUAAAGCUCAACUCAUUUGUGAUAAACGAGUCGAGCUUGAGUUCGAGCUCGAACCACAUGUACAUUUAACGAGUCGAGUUCGAACACAUUUUAAAGCUCGUUUUCCUAACGAGCUCAAGUCGAGCUUGGUUCGAAUUAAACUCGAGUCGAGCUUGGCAGCCAAAUACUCGGCUCGAUUAACAGCUCUACAUGACAGGCAGCUUGAUGGUUGAUUAAAAUGACAAAAAUGCCAUAGAGGAGAGCAGAUGAAAUGCAAUGAACAUUAUCCCACAAAACGUCUUCUUAUUAUAUGUUGUAAAGAAAGAAAGAUACUAAUUAAUCCCCCAAAAAGCUAAGUCAUGGCCUCUAUUAAAGGGGCAGAAACCUGAGAGCCAUUGUAGGAGUUGGGAACAAACAACCGAAGUUUCCCUUCUCAUUUCCUCUCUUUUUGUUCUCUUCUUGUUGAAGUAAUUGUAUAAAAUAGCUAGUGAGACACAAGAAUUCACAAGUUAGUAGUCUUGAAUUCUUCGUCUUGUUUGUUGAAGUAAUUGUAUAAAAUAGCUGGUGAAACACGAGUUCAUACGCAAGUCUUGAAUUCUUCUUUUUUGUUUGUGUAAGUUAACAUGGCUAUGGAGGAUGGGAUUAGUGAUUAUACUCAAGAUGGAACAGUGGAUCUCAAAGGAAACCCUGUUCUGAGAUCAAAAAGAGGAAGAUGGAAAGCUUGUUCCUUCAUAGUCGGUACUCUUCUUUAUUCUUUUUCCUUGUCUCUUUAUCCAUUUCUUUCCUCACCCUUUCUUUUUUUCUUUUCCUGUUGGUUUUCAUCCAUGGCCAUUAGCAGAGGUAAUGUGAUAUCAUAACUCUUAAGUGGAUGUGGUACUGAGUUCAUUCAAUACAAAAAUUAGCGCAAUUUUUUCCAUACGUUUGUUUUCCAUGGGGUUUGGGUUGAGGGGAAAUGAUCCACAGAAAUAGUGUGUUAUUUUGCUGGGAGUUAAACCAUAAAGCUUCAAGUAAUCCAACUACCUCCAUACUUCUUUAUUAAAAAGAAACCAAGACUCAAUUAACUUUUGUUAACCAUACGACUUCUAUGCAUCAUUAGCAUUUGAUUCUAGCAAACUAACCAUAAAUUACUCCAUUUUUUCACUCCCUACUUUCAUCUUUCCACUAACCCUUUUCUAUCCUUUUCAAUUGUAUUGAAUUGAAAUUAGUAUGUGGUGAAACGACGUGUUAAUUAUCUUUUGGUAACUUCUUCUAUAAUUUUAAGCCAUUACCAAAAUGAGUUUUUUCAAAUCUUAUUUUCUUGAUAUUCUGAAAACCUUAAUAUAUAGAUACAUGGAGAUGCAUUAAAUUGCAGCCCAACACCAUAUAUAUCGGCAAAACUUGUUUUUUUGUAUCUAUGUAUGUAGAUGAUUAAUAACUGCACGUUGCCUACUCCAUGGAUGGACACUUUCUUGAUUUUCGGCUUGACAAUUUCACGCUUCUGUCAUAUUUCCACAUAGCCCCUAAACUUGAAGGAGCAGACAAAGAACAUAUUAUAGUUAGUAUUACCUUAUCAUGCAUAAAGAUUAUUUAGAAGGGAAUAAAAAAAAGCUGAUUUAGACUAAGAUUUUAUUUUUUUUUUUAUUUUUUGGAACCAUGAAAACUGAAAAGCUACAAUUCCUGAUAAGAUAAUGCAAAAACUGAGGAUUCUUCAUUUUGGGUAAACUUGUUAAGAUGUUUCCUUCAAUAUCCAUCACUUUCUGUGUACUAGCCUCCUAAAAGAUAUAUCCGUGACAAGAGUAAAAAUAAAGAAAUAGUAUUUCUUACGACUUGUGUCACUCACGACAAGGAGGUGUAAUUUGUUUGACCAUAAAUUAGUCAUAUUAUAUAUUUUCAUUUUUGUCUUUCAUCCAAUUCUUACGCUAAAACCAAUAAUAGAAGAUGAAAAAUCCAAAAGCUUCUGUGUCACUCGGUCCAUCAUGCUUAUUAUUUUUUUAAUUUUUUUGAGACCAUGAUUGUCAACUAUUAAAUAACCCACUGCCAACUCCCAAGAAAAAAAAUUAAAUCAAUCACUUAGAAUCAACUCUUUUUUUGGUGCAAAUAUAAAUUUCUACGUUGACCCUUUUCAAGGGUUGAUUUUAAUUAGAACUUUUUCUUUUCAUUUGUUCUUUUUUUUCUCUGAGCAGUGUAUGAAGUGUUCGAGAGGAUGGCAUAUUGUGGAAUCUCAGCAAAUCUCAUUCUGUAUCUGACCAAAAAACUGCAUCAAGGGACUGUGACAGCAUCCAAUAAUGUGACUUAUUGGAUUGGUACCAUAUGGCUGACUCCAAUCUUGGGUGCAUAUGUUGCUGAUGCUUAUCUUGGCAGAUAUUGGACGUUUGUGAUUGCUUGUGCAAUCUAUCUCUCGGUAUGCUUCUCUGCACUAGAUCAGUCCUGUCUUAACUCUUAAUCAGUGUACCAUUUCUUUAUCAUUGUUUUAGCCACUAAUUAAGUCAAAGUGGAUGACGAAGUCAAAAAUUGAUGACAUCUGCCAAUACUUAAGAAAAGUUCUUUAAUAUUUUCUAUGCUGUUAUUAUUAAAAUUUUUGAAAAUUUUGUCUUGCAUGUCGGAGGCACUAAUAUUUUGUAACACAAAUAAAAAAAAAAAAAGAAAGAUGUUAGUCAAAGUGUCGAUUUUUUAUUUUAUUGCAUUAUAUUAAAAGGGUAAACAAUUUUCAGCAUAUGCAGCUCUCUGAGACCUAGAAUGUAGUUGGUAUUACUAAAAUCAGAAUGAGAAAUGAUUACAAAAGCAUUCCAGCUUGAAAGUAUUUGCAAAAUGUCAAUGAAAUUUGGUCAAGUGAAAGAAAUGUAAUUGAAAUGGAAAUUAGAAAGCAACCAUGUCUUCUGUUCAAGCAUGAUUGCUGCACAAAUGAAAGUCCAAUAAAUCAUAUCCACUGAGAAGUGAGAAAAAACAAAAAAGAGAAGUGAGAAUAAAUUCAUAAUUUUGCUUUUAUGAAAACCCCACAAAGAUGCACGUAUGAUUUCAUGAUACAUACAUCAUGGCUUUUCAUAACUUGAAUAAUAAAGUACUUUCACUUGCUAGCUAGGUGUGAAGUGCAAGUAUGUGUACGUGUGUGCGUAUAUAUGUGUAUACACACACAUACACAUACACAUACACAAUAUCUUUAUAUAAUUAUAGAAUAAAUCUUAUAAACAUUGACAGUAUAUAAAUUUAUCACGAUUGGAUGCACGACACAUAUGUAAAAUUUGGAUUUCAAAUUUAAAUUUGAAUUAUGUAUUAUGUAUCCAAUGGUGAAAGUGUAUACACUGUCAGUUUAUAGAUGAUUAAUCCAUAACUAUAAGGUGGUAUGUAAUGAUUGAAUAGAUGUACUUUUAAUGAUUCUUUAGGCACAGUUACCAAAUCAAGAGGCAUCUUGUAAUAAACAAUCCAGGUCGCAUUUAAUUUGAUUCUUUCUUAAGGCUUAUCUGAACUAUAGAAUAUAUACAAGGCAUGGAUCAUAUAACAAGUAGAUCAUGGUAUACUUUUUGAGACCAUAUUUGGAAUCUUCAUCAAUGGAAAUUAGCAUCAAAUGUCUUGACUAGAAUAUGGAAAUUCUUGAUCUGCCUUGUUUAGGAAUAUUGUCACAUCAAGACUAAUGCACCCCCACAGAUGCUGUCUAACAACUGUCAGACUUAAACUCUGACAAUGUGUUUAUGAUAACUUAUAAAACUAAUGCCAAAUAAUUACAAUAUAUUAAAUUGCUUAGUUCACCUAUUAGUGCUUCGAUUGAUAUUGGACAUGUAAUUUAGUGUAUCUAACUUUUUAGAUAUUCAGCAUGAUUAAAUUAGGUGCUCAUCUUUUGUUACUAGUUCUUGAAUUUUGUUUAUCGUAUCUGUAUUUUAGACAAUUUUGAAAACUAAGAUAAGAAACAAGAGUCAUCUUUUCAAGAUAAUUUACAUAAAUCUUUAGCUUUGAUACAUCCAGAUUUCUUCACUAUGUCUGUCCCCUGUAAAUGUGAUGAAAUUGUUCUACUCAACUUGUUAAACUAAUUCUUGUUGUUUGAAUUGCUAUUUUCUGAAGUUUUUGUAGAAAAAUAUAUUACAGCGAUUUGAUGUCUACGAAAUAAAAAGGUAAUUAAAACAUACGUUCAAGAAAAACGUAAAAAAAAAAAAUUUUGAAAAAAAAUGACAAUCCAAACAAGGUUUCAGCAUGAAAGACUUAAAAGUUAGUGAAUGGAACAGCUAGAGAAAAAGUUUUUUUCUAGUUUUUUCUCGAGGUUGUGCAAUGCUUGAAGAAGGAAGGAAAGAAACUUUUCAUAAAGCAGGGAACUAUAUUUUGCUUUUUAAUAUAUCUAUUGUCUCCUAUUUUUCUUUUUUGGGUCUGAGGGAUAUAAUUGGGGAAUCAUUUAGAGAGCCAACCAUAGGAUUAUCGUAGACGAAGACCUAAGUCGAAUAUUGAAAUGCCAAAUGUGUCAGCUUUAUAUGAGAAUAAUAACUUUGUCAGAGUUUAUUCCAAAAAUGCAUAUAUCAAUACACGAAAAGAGAAGAAUUUGAUGCUGAUUAAAAUGCAUCUUCAGAUUGCUGAAAUAGCAUGCGGGUCCUUUCCUUUGCUAAUUAAUGACAGAUAGUUUAUCUAAAUCAAUUAAUAACCAGAAAGAUCAAUUUCCAAUCAUGCUGCACGUUCAUAUGUGAUCUUCUUUAAUCUCACUAAACACAAAAGUUAAGUAAGAAAAAACAUAUUCUUUACUGGCUAUGAUCAGAGGCAUCUGUCUUCUGAUAUUAAUAUAACGGGAUAAUUUUAGAAACCUCCCCUAAGGUUUUUAACUAUUUCACUUAGUUCCCUUGAAGUUUUAAAAAUUACACUUACCUCCCUUGAUUUGACACUUUGGUAACCAAACGUUAAAAUAAGGUAAAAAAAAAAUUUAAUAAAUACCCCAUAAUGCACUUAUCUUAUAAAGUUUAAUUCAUUCUUCCAAACAAUUGUAAAGUAAUUUGACACAGUUAUAAAAAAAAAAGAGUCUCAAGUUUUUUAUGCUAAUAUUUGUUAUUUAAUAAUCAACUAUAACAAUAAAUCAUUUGCCAUGAUAAGCUAUAUUUUAUAGUGCUUUAUUGGGAAUAUAGAUUCUUUUUAAGAUAGAGAAAAAAGUAUUACCUUGUGUUUUUUAAGUUUAUAGACUAUUUUUUAAAUAAAAGUAUAUGGACUAGUUUAGUGAUGGAACUACCAUAGUUUGGCAGUGAUUUUGGGCCAUUUGUUUUUAAUUAUUUUUUAUUUUGAUAUAAAAAAAAAGAGCUACAAAAAAAAUUGGAUGAUAUUAAAAGUCAUCAAAAAAAUUACUAGUUUAACAUUUGAUCUGGAUUAAUAUUAGCGACAACAUUGAUAGUUCUUCUAUACUUUCAAUGAAAUAUAAGAGAAAUGAAUAAGAAGGAAAUAUGAAAAAAUUAUAAAAUCCAUCCUUUGUAUAAACAUGGCAACAAGAGAGUUUUAUUAGAAUAUUAAGGUUAGUAUUGUCAUUUUAAAUGGGUAAGGGAGAUAGGUGUAAUUUUUGAAACCUUAAGGGAAGCACAUGAAAUUAUUAACAACCUCAGGGGAGGUUUCUGAAAUUUUAUCCCUAAUAUAAUAUAAUUAGUACAGAUUAGUUCCAUUAAUCUUUCGUGAGUUAGCUGGAUUUAGUAAGUGAAGUUUUUUUUUUUUUUUAAAGAGUUAAAACUGUAACUUCAUGACCCAAAAAAAAAAAAAAAAAACUUUUACUAUCUGUUUACUGCUAAGGUAAGAUUAUACAAAGGCAUUUAUGCAAAUCACAAGUGUCCAAGAUGACUAGUAGUAUACCUAGUUAGAGUUGUAAACAAAAUCUAGAGAGACCAUGCAUGCAAAUAAAGCAAAUUAUUCAUGUCCUAACUGAAAUUGUAUCUGAUUGCAGGGAAUGUGCUUGCUAACACUAGCAGUUUCAGUCCCGGGCUUUAGACCACCUCCCUGCCAUGCUGCAAAUGUAUCUGACUGUCCAAAGGCUACAACACUUGAAUUGGCAGUGUUUUAUACUGCACUUUACAUCUUAGCUGUUGGAACUGGUGGGACAAAGCCAAAUAUCUCCACCAUAGGUGCGGAUCAAUUCGAUGAUUUCGAUCCAAAGGAGAAGAUCCAAAAGCUUUCCUUCUUCAAUUGGUGGAUGUUUAGCAUAUUCUUUGGGAUACUUUUUGGCAACACAGUUCUCGUCUAUAUUCAAGACAAUGUGGGAUGGGCUCUUGGAUAUGGUAUCCCUACAGCUGGGCUUGCAUUGUCUAUUGCCAUUUUUCUGUUUGGUACUCCCUUCUAUAGGCACAAGAAGCCUGCUGGUAGUCCCUUCACAAAGAUGGCUAGAGUCAUAGUGGCUACUGUUAAGAAAUGGAGGGUACCUGUCCCUACUCAUCCCAAAGAACUGUAUGAACUUGAUGCUGAAGAAUACACCAAGAAGGGCAAAUUCAAAAUUGAAUCCACAACCACAUUAAGGUUAGCAUUUUUCCCAUAAUUAACUAUAACUGCUUCUCUAUUACAGAUUAAAUUUUUUUAAAAAUCUGAAUAACAUCUUGUUCCAUAGUUGUCUAACUGAAAUGCAUUAAUUUAGGUACCUGAACAAAGCAGCAGUGCAAACAGGUUCAACAAGUAUGUGGAUGUUAUGCUCAGUUACAGAAGUUGAGGAGACCAAACAGAUGCUGAAAAUGUUACCUAUAUUGAUGACCACAUUCCUUCCAAACGUAAUAGUUGCACAAAGCAAUACUCUUUUCAUUAAGCAAGGCACUACUCUGGACAGGGGCAUGGGUAAGCAUUUCAAAUUGCCACCAGCCAGCUUAGGUGCUUUUGUGACAGUAACCAUGCUGCUUACCGUGGUGCUGUAUGAUCGUGUCUUUGUCAAGAAUAUUAGCAAGUGGACCAAGAAUCCAAGAGGCAUCACUCUCCUUCAAAGACUGGGACUUGGAUUUGUGCUCCACAUUAUCAUUAUGAUCGUAGCCUCCCUGACAGAAAGGCACAGGCUUAAUGUGGCCAAGGAACAUGGUCUAGAUCAAACCGGAGGCCAACUCCCAUUGACCAUAUUUAUAUUGCUCCCACAAUUUAUCCUUACGGGAGUGGCUGAUGCAAUGACAGAGGUUGCAAGACUUGAGUUUUUCUACGAUCAGGCACCUGAGAGCAUGAAGAGUUUGGGGACUUCCUUUUCCAUGACUAGUGUGGCAGGUGGCAACUUCCUUAGCAGUUUCAUUCUUUCAGCAGUUUCUCGCAUCACAAGGGAGGGUGGUCACAAAGGAUGGAUCCAAAACAACCUUAAUACUUCUCGCCUCGAUUUGUAUUUUGCAUUUCUUGCAGUAGUAGGCUUUCUGAAUUUCCUUUUUUUCCUGGUUGUGACCAAGUUCUUUCACUACAAGGCUGAGAUUUCGGACUCAAUGGAAGUGUUAAAAGAAGAACUAGAGGGGUCAAGGAAAGAUGCUUACCAAGUAGAGCUGGCGGAUAACAAACGCUAAUCAAGAAUGUUCUCAAGAGGGCUAAAAUUCAUCUGCAUGGAAAGGAGCUUGAGACUCAACAGGAGCAUUAUUUUGUAAUAAGAAUUGCUAGCAUCACAAGCAUGGAUUGGUGCUUUCUCGCACAACUAAGAUGAAACUAGCUUUUCCUUAAGCUAAAAAAUGUACUGUUAUGUUUUAGAAGCAGAGAGGAGGAAUGAAAUAAAGCUGUCAGAAGGCCCGAACUGGCUUUCCUGCAUGGCCCUACAGCGUGUUGCAGCAAAUAUUUCAGCUCAGAUAUCUGAAAUCUUAAUUUGCAUCUUUCCUUAAGAGCCCUAUGAAUGUACUACAACAAAUAUUUUAAGUUAUCUGCUUGAAAUCUCUAUUUCUAGCAAUUCUCUCUUGGUAAUCCAGGACAGCAAAUUUGCAUCAACAUGCAGUACUAUGUUUUAGUUUUUCCUUUUUUUCCCCCCAUCUUUUGGAGCAUUCUAGGAUGCUUGAACGCAAAUUCAAAUUGAAAGGAAUACAUUCUUCCUUUAGUUCUUACUAUUUUGGUUUUUUCAUCGCUUAUAGUUUCUUCGCUAUUCCCAUUAAUUUCCCUUUCUAUUUAUUUCUCACUGUUUGUUGAUUUUGAUGGUCAAUUGACGGUCAGUAGCACAACUGUUUUCAGUAAAACUGUUACUUUUAGAUGGCCACUGUUCAGAAAAGCAGUCAACAAUAAUGCUUCGCAAUGCAAGGACUACAAGACUUUCCAUGUCUUUCUACGUGAAACUACCAAAAUAAUUCCUAUGAUGCUCCUUUCCCAACCAAUCUAGAUGGCCAUGAAAUUGAAGUUUGCAGGCCCGCCUGCCUGUUUAGUGCAUGUCAUGAGUUUAUCCAGAUUUAAACUCAACGAAUGUUAGAGACAAAAUUUGAUUUUGUUAGUAUAUAUGAUAGCUCUAUACUGAUACUUGAAAACAUCUUAUACCAAUAUAAUUGAGCAAACAUUUGAUACUGUGUAUAAGAUAAUGUCGAAAGCAGAGAUUACAUAUCAUACUAGCCUGUUUUUAGUAGUUGAUUUUGUGUCUACAUUCCUCAUGGAAUCUAAAUCCAGUGAAGUAAUUAUUAAAAAAAAAAACCACAAAAAUGCUAAGGAUUCUGUCCAUGACGGUCAAUGAUCUUUUUCUAUGUUUUGCAUCAUAAACCAAGCACAAAGGCCUGAAGAAAACUGGUGACUACAAAAAAAAUUCUCUCAGCCUAAUUAGUUUUGACGUCAACCUGAUUCAUGAUACCAUCAGCCUUCUUGUAUAUCGAAUUUACAAAUUGAAAUGAUCAAAGAACAGAAAAGAUCAGCAUCACUAAUAUUUGAGCCUUGGAAAGAAAUAAAAUAGUGUGAAGAUGACCUCUGCUGCUAAACCAAGAUGCAUGUUUUAACAGACAAAAGGUCACAUUUAACAAACACUGUAGACCCUAAAGUAAUCCAUUUUCCCCUCUCUGUUUAUAAAAAGAUCCUGAGACAGAACUUCAUGUAAACUUUCUCAAGGAAAUAUCAAUCAAACAUCGUCUUAAGGACUCUAUAUAUCAUUUCGGGACGUGAUUCAAAUCUCACCUUCCAUGUUCCCUUCUUGCUGCUUUCCUCCACCUUUUGGCUUUCCCACCCCACCAAAAAAGGUACCUAAUCUGAUAAAUCUUUUUUUUCCCUAACAAUUCUUCCUUUUUGGAGAAUUUGUAUCAAGUUCUCAUCAAAAGUGAUUGCUAGAAACCUAAAGCUGACUUUAAUUGUCAUUACCAUUCCAAUUUGUAAUUUUGCUUGAAAAUUUCAAGAACCCUUUUCGUAUAUAUUACCAAAGAGAUGAAAGAAGGCAUUAAAGAUUGGAUUUUGGAAAAAGCAAAAUAUAAAUCUUUUCACCUGGGAUGGGAUAGGAUUGGACUGUUUAAUUCAAUCCCUUUGUAAAGCGUAAUGGCAACAAUCCCUUUUCUAACAACGCCAUUUCGAUCUAUGUUCGAGAAAAGCGAGAGUUCUGAUCAGUUCUGGAGGGUUUUAUGACUGAACAUCACAAUAUCAUCAGGACAACAACACGCAAAGGCGUGGUCUCACACUCGUUGGUGGAAAUACGCCUUCUGAAAUCACUCUCAAAAGCCGCAGACUUUCUGAUCAUCUGGGGAAAAGUUAAACUCAACUCCUAUCAAAUCAAGAUUUGGCAUCCCAAAUUCAGCUAUCUAUAAUCACUUAUGAGGAAUGCAAUUAUCUGUUUAACAAAACGGACUGUUUAAAAUAGCUUUAAAAAAAACGUAAUUUUGAAGUUAGUAAUUAAGAGAAAAAUCAAAAUGGAAGUUAAUGCAGACUUAAUUAGAUUCAAGGAAAUGAAGAAAGAAAGAACUUUUAAUUUCAGAUUCUGAUAUCUCUUUUUGCUAAUAGCUUUUCAAAUUUUCAUUGCGAUUUGUAGAAAGUACAUUCUUAGUUGUUUAUAAAUAUGUUAAAAUCUCUUCUUCCAUUGAACGUACUUUCAGUUCUUGAGUAUGACCCAAUGGUUUGUAAACUACAAAGAUCAUAUUUACGUUGCAGUGACUUUGUAGAUUGUCUGAGAUAAAGUUGAAUUAGCCUUCCAUUUAGUUCUCUUUUAGCUUUGUGGUUUCUGUCUUGGAGAGCUCAGCUAUCUGGUUGCAGAUUUGAUAAAACUAAAGUUCAUUUCCAUCGAUGAUAAGGACGGUUUUAACUUUCUCAGUCAGAUGCUUUGAAAGUUUGGAUAGUGCAAAACUAUAAGAUCAUAUGCAAAUGCAUCUCAUGUGGCCUUGACUUAUGCUACUGCGGCAGAACUCCUAAAUUAUCCAUGUUAUAUGGUGCUCUGCGACUAUUGUUGUAUGAUAUGGAAAACAAGGAUUCUCACUCUGAACUCAUCAAAUAUGAAAGUGAGAAGAUGGGCUUGUCUGAAUUGAUAAUCUUCUUGAAUUCUUUUCUUGCAACCAGGGUAGAAACUUAUGCUAGACAAUUAUUUCCUGUGAAAACUUGAACUCCUGCAGUCAACAUCCCAUCCGAAGAUACAUGUCAAUAUCAGCAAGUCAGCAGCUGCAAGAGCUCUUCCAUCAUGAAACCAGCGUGUUUUGCUGAUGUCCUUGUGCUGAUAAAUUUGAUGGUCGAAAUCGGAUAGGAACCAGUUGAAGCUUCUUCUCCACAAGACUUGCUUCUAUUUUUGAACUAAUUCAUUUCCCAGGUGUAUUUCUGAUCAAUUAUGGCCCAUGCAGAGUGGAUGAUGCAAAAGAGAAAAACAUAUCCAUUUGAAAUGCUCAACCACAGUUAGUUGCUAAUGCUGCGUAGGUCUAUAAAAAAAGAAGACCAUGAUUAGUAUAAUGUUCUCUCAUCUCCAAAUAUAUCUUUGUACUAGUAUACAACAAUGAAUAAAUACAUCAUCUUUUUCCGUAAAAGUGUAUUUCCUGAACUCAGCAUUCAAAGAUCAUAUGAUCAUAUACCUGCCUCACACGCUCCUCAGUUAAGAUCAACCUUAGUGGCAGAAUCUCAUGUAAACUGGUAUUAUUUUCAUCCUCUUCUCUUUGCUAAUUGGAAUGACCUUUUUAGGAAGUCAUUAGCAGCUCGAUCAUUUCUGUGGCACAGUACCCUCAAAAUUGUAUUGGGAUCUGAUCUAUUCCAUCUUCCAGUUGUUGGUGGCAUAGGAAGCUUCUGCCCAGCACCAACUACACCUAUGCCACUGGCUUCACAGGCCACAAUACUGAAAUCUUCCAUCAAUUGUUCUGUAGAUUGGCCCAUUAAUGCCACUACACCAUCCACUGUCUCAGCUUCUAUGUUUACUGCAUCCUCUACGAUUAGACCUUCUCCACAUGUACAAAACAUCCGCUUCAGGUUCUCAAAAUCUUCCUCAAUCAUCUGAUGGUCUGACCGAAAAAAGAUUCUGGAGCUUCCCCCAGCAAGCAAAACCAUAAGGAAGGCCUCAAAGGAAGCUCUCAUUACCUCUUUUAGAGCUAGUGGUUGAGCUCUUUCAGUCACAAUUGCACAUAAUAGAGUAAGGUUCUGCUUAAGUGUUCUCAGAGCUGGCCUAAUACGUGCAUUUGCUACAUCACCUACAUAUAGACUUCCGUAGAAUACAGAGUUCGAAUCCAUGAAGAUUAGACGGUAAGCAGCAACUUCACAUACAUGCUGAGUAGCAACAUGAAUUGCCGAGCGAGCGUGAUCAAAGUAGGAGGAGGAAUCCCCAAGUUGUCUAUUCCUGUUGUUAAUGCGGCUAUGUGGUGAAGGAACAAUUUUUGACGACAGGGACAAUGUUUUAUCAAGAGAGUUGAGCUGUGAAUUGAGGAAAUGUAAGGUGUUAAGACGGAUGUACAAGCGUUGUGUUCCGCGACUUGUUGAAGGCCGCGGAUGGUUGCCUUCAUUUAGCAUAUUUUGGCCUGGGUCUUCUAUGCCAACACUGCAGGCAGCUCUUUUCCAGAGUUUAGAAAACUUUGUUUCUUGGCUACAUCGUGUUAAAGGGGGAAGUAUAGGGAGAUAACUUUGCUUUGAUCCUGAAGAGUGGAGCAAAAACCCAGUGAGUUACACAGUGAUCACAUAAUUUUGCUGAUUCCAAUGCAUAUUUUGAUCCAACUUUUAGUUGUCUACGUUAUCAUUUAUCAGCACAAAGAAGAAGACCAUGAGGCAAAAGAGGAAACUUAGAGUAAUACUGUCCAGCGGCUGCAACUUGCAUGAUUAGUGAAGCUAGACAUUCAAAAAGGGACAACCAGGUUGGUAUUUAGAGGAGAACAGGAUUUCAGAGUAUGAUAUGAACAUCCCUAUAUAUGCAAUUAUCUGUGUUCAGGAUGAUAUCUUUCAUUGACAACUACUUGGUGGAAAGAUUCAGUGCCAGUUCUUACCACAUGAUGCAACAAAGGUAAUGUAAUCUCUGAAGAGAUGCUCCAAUCCAUCAGUGAGAGUGUGGACCAGAUCCUCAGAUAAGUUCACUGGGGUAUGGAGGAAGCUGUCCAAAGAAUCCUUGAUAUGCUUCAUUAGCUCUACAGCAGAAUGUGCAUAUGGCUCGGUCUUGGACUUGGGAUUCCAUGUCUACAAUGCAAAAUUCUGUAUGUCAAGUUGUUGCUGCACACAUAUAAGGAGUCUCGGGUAUGUGUGUUACAUAUCAAUUCAUGUUAAUAGAUGUAAGAAUUCUGCCACUGUCAAAAGAUAUAAAUACAUGUUUUAUCAAACUUACUUCAGUUUCUUUCGCUCUAAGGAGUAAUUCUUUCCCCUUCUUUAGGAUUUCUUGAAUCCAUUGUUUCAUACGGUUCAGUAUGAUGGAAUCAACUUCAUAGGGCACCAUCUCCCUGACAAUUGCUUUGCCUCCAUCUUCACAUUCAACAGAGUCUUCAACCACCAUCUGAACCAAAACCUUUUCCAACUUCCCAGCUCUGUGCAGCAACGUAGUUGUCUCCUCUGUGAGUGCAGAAGUUGCUACCAAAUACUGCUUCAACAAAGUCCCGUAGCAAGUAUGUAGGGUUACCGCUGCAACCCCAGCUGCGACAGGGUGCCAUUUCUUGAGUACAGGACUAAAAAUCUCCUUCUCCAUUGCAGCCAAACGUUCAGUUUCAUUAGCCAAUUUAAUGAGCACUUCACUUGCUUCUUCCAUUUCAACAACAGCUCCAUCUAUGUUCCUAUCUUUCAGAAUCUACAAAGGUUUUUAAAAAAAAUAGAGAGAUAUAGUUCAAGUAUUUUCAGAAGUUGAAAAUAUCCAACAGAAAAGUAAAAGAGACGUCGAUUCAGGAUCAAACUAAUAUACAUACUACCCUGUACCUUUGCAAAUGCAUUCCUCAAUGAUGACCUCACAUAAUAAUCCACCCGAUUGCCAGAUGAAAUCUUUGUCAUUUCUUCGGUCUCCAAUUCUACUGCAAGAUAUCCUGGAACAUCUUCUUCCAAGAUCUUUGCAGCCGAAAAGACUAAUGGAACAAUACUCUCCAUUAGUCCAAUUGUGCCCUUAUGAAAAUUUUGAUGGUAAUCAAGCAAUCUCCUCUCUGCCCAUCUCUUCAUUGAAGUCAAGGCUGAUGCCAACAUCUUCACAUACAAAGGUUCUCUAUCAACUUUCUUAGCAUCAUUUGCGACUUCAGCUAACAUAGUCAGUGAUGCACCAAGAAGAUCUCCCUCAACUUGUCCGGUCACAAUAUAAUGCUCAAACAACACCCAAGUAAAACACAAGUUAUGGAUCGAUCUAUUAAUUCCCAAUGUAGACCAUGUCUUCUUCAUCAACUCAAGAAGCUCGUCAACUUCAUCAAGAACUAACGUUUCCUCCUUGAUAUCAAAAAUUGAGUACAGAAGAGCAAUAUAAAUGUGUACGUUAAUGGGAUAUCCAUCAGCCCAAUGGCAAAUAUCAGUAGGGGAACCAUCAGCACUUCUCCAAGACAAAGACACAACACAAUUGACUAGUGAUUUCAUGGUUUCUGAAUUCUUUCCGGUGUCUAUUGCUUUGUGUUCUGAAGCUUGGAUGAUUUCGCGAAGGCGAAUAGCAAAUUCAUUCGACUUCUCUAAUGGAAUCGAAGGGUGAAGAAGAAGUCCAACCUCGAAAAUUUUGAGCUGACGUUUUUGCCAAAAAUGAUACUCCUGAGGGUCAUUAAAUUCGGAUGGUUUUAGGUGGCGUAAAAGCUCCAACGGAAGAAUAAUCGUCUCUGCACGCCUGCCCAUCUGCUCGAAGAAUUGUAUCAACUUUACAUGUUCAAUCAGUCAGGUCAAAAAAAUUUAUCAACUCGAAGAAUAAGCAUUGUCAAUACAAGCAAUGCAAAGCUAUCAUGUCAAUAGAUAUAAACAGCUCAAGUAAAUUAUGUAUUUUCCUCGACAAACUCUAGUGUGUCAAAGGGACCAUUCCGCCAAUCUAUUCCAACUACCAAGAUAACGAAAAAAAUGUUGAAAACAUCAGGGAGUGUAAUUAACAUUUUCAGAUUCUAUCUUCGGUUUUUAUGGUCAAGCAUGAUAAACAUUCAUGUGUUGGCAACAAAUGAGUAUGCUAAUGCCCCAUUUGAAUAAAAUAUUUGCAUAAACAUUCUUGAAAUAAAAUUAUUUAGUUUUUUUAUCCUACGGUAUAUCAGCUUCUAGUUAGCUAUAAAUUCAUUCUACGUCCUUUCUAUAAUCCUCACUAAAUUCCAAUUUGCGUAUAAUAAGCCUAAAAAAAAAUUAUAUUGCUCUCUUAGUUAAUUCCGAGAUGAUACAGAUUAGAGGCACAUUAAAAAUGAAAAAGAGAAAAAAAUUGGAACUAAAACUUGCACAUUUACCUAUUUUGUUUUCUCAUUUUAUCGCUUCAUAAAUUAUUUCAUUUCACACGAUCGAAGAAUUAUUGUUCACUCACCAAAUUAACAUACAUUUUUAUGAAAUUUUAGUUAACUAAUUGUAUUUUAUAUUUUUUUUCCCAAUUUCCCAUUUCUAUCGACGAAAUAAUUCUAUAGACAUAUUAUCUACAUACUUGGCCAACAAGGGUCCUCAUGAGAGUUUUACGUAGCCUGUUAUCACUCUGCUCCGUCACCCUCAUUUGCUGCCGCAUGAUCUCAGCUGAUGUCAUCGGCCGGCGAGGCCUAGACGGCAACGACGAGAACGCGCUCCGAGGACUCGUCCCAGCCCCACCAUUCGGCGAAGACGGUGCUGCCCCAACAGAGCUAGCCCUCCUUGAUGGUGACUUUCUCAUCAUUUUCAAUCCUAAAGUCCUUUUCACCCUACUCGUUACUGCCAUCCCCACCCCCGGUGGCUUCACUGGAGAUCCAGGUUGUCCAAAACUUGACCCAGACCCGCUUCCAUCUUUCUCGUCCGACGGAUUAUAAUAUGUUAUUGCACUCCUACCUCCAAACCCCGGCGAUGACCGGCAAGCCGUGAAGAAUAUCUCAUAAGCAGCUUCACGAAAAUCAUCCCGGUCGAGGCCUUCGAGCUUUCCGAAAGGCCAUACAAGGUCCGAGAUGGCCUCUGCGGGAUCCGGAUCGGCUCGGGGAGAAGGCUGAAUGGAUGAACGGGUAAGUUGGCCCAUUUAGGUGGUUUUGGCCUAAUGAUGGGUGGUGGUGAUGCAGCAGAUUCCGGCCGUUUUCUUUAUUGCCAAGUUUCCGGCGGAAGCGGGACAGAGAAGGUGAUGAACAUUAUAGAACUGUUUUUUUCUGUUUUCGUGAGGACAGAAGAAGAAGAAAGAGAGAAAUGGGAUAAUAAUGGUUAGAAAUUAAAGCAGCAAGAGAGAGAAGAGGAGAGAGAUGGAUGGUUUUGGGGCGGUGUAGAUUUGCGAAGAAAACGAGAGAAGACAAAGGUGGUUGCAUGAGCAUUCCGGGUUUUGCUGAUAUAUACGAAUGUUGCCUCAUUUUGAAUAAAUGGCAAAUUUUGUUUAUAUAUCCUUUUUUUUUUUCAGGCUUGUUUAUAUCUCUUUUUUUGCCCUUCUUUUUAUUUUUUUUUAUUCUGCAAAUUUCAAUUUAAAAAUUAUUAUUUCCAAGGACAGGAACACGUAGAUUCAGAACGCCUUCAUCAUGCAUGCAAAUGCAUGGCUCCAUAUGGAGAUAAAGAAUAGCAGACUAUGUAACCGUCUGAAUAUUCCGGAGAUGUAUUGGAUUUCUUUAGUUCUUAUUCUUUUUUCUUUUUUUUUUGGGGGUACAAAGUAGUAUUACUUUAGCUAUUAAUAUAGUUCUAGAAAUGCCAAUAAAUAUAUAUAUAUUUGUCAUAUUUGUAAUACUCUCAUUAGAAGCAAGCAGAGACGAAAAGUAAACGUGCUUCUAUUAUGGCAGAUGUGGCGCAGUUGUUUACUUGUCUAAUUUUGUGACAUAUUAUUAUUUAUGCGACCAAUGUCUUUGGAUUCUUUUUACUUGUUGAAAGGGAAGUAAUAUACAGUCGAGAAGUUGUCGAGCAAGUUAUGUUUUUUGUCGAAUUUAUUCACUUGAUAGUGAUCUGGGAUAGUUUCAAAGAUGCCCUUUCUUUACUGAUCAGCUGCAUGUAUAUGAUUUCAGUAAAUGCUAUACAUAAUAUAAAUGCUUUUCGCAGCUAAAUUGUUCUUUUACCACAGACAGACAGGUCUUUCUCUGAAUAUUCUGAGAUAGAAUCAAGGUUAAACUUAGUGGUGAUUCAAUUCAGAACACACAAAUUGAUGCACUAUCAUGUAGCAUUUUCAAGACCAAUUUUUUGUUUCUUCCAUCAUUAUGUAGGAAAUGGACUCAGUUGAGUUGAUUUUGAGCAUUUGAUACGAGCUUGUGAAUUAUUCUAUUCAUGCAUUGAAACAUCUUGCAUCUCCGCCCCCCCCCCCCCAAAACAACAAAAAAAACCCUAUAGACAUCUCUAUGAAGAGAUCAACUUUGACAAAUUCCGAUCCAUCCGGUAAAAAGACUAAAAGAAAAUUGGACUUUAUCAUUUGAUAGAACUUGGUGCUUGCCGGGCGUUUAAGGUGGGCAAUUCUGCCGUAAUGAGCAUGUCAAUAUGUUAAUCAUUGCUCUACAUAUGUAAAAGAGUUGUUUCAAACAAAAUAUUAUGUUGAAAUCUUAUUCUUUUAAUUGUUUAACUAUGUGUAAAAAUUGGACUCUCACAUGGUUGAUAAUAAUUGGAAUCUGUAAUUAGACAAGUCUUAGUUGAACUCCGAGGGAUUGAACUCUUGCACAAAUGAUUUGUCCAACUUCUGUUGGUCUAACUCCACUUUGCAUCCUUAAACUGGCAGCACUUUUUCACUUAGCACCGUAAAUUUCAAUUUUGGACAUUUUGCACUCUAAACUCUUAAUUUUGGAUACUAUACACCCUAAACUCUUAAAUUUAUCCUAUUUAAAUCUAAUGAAUAAUUAUGUGCGCAAAAUUAACUAAUCACAAUGUUAUUUUAAUUCUAACUAUGAUCCAUCAAAUUUUUUGAUCACUUUCAUCACAUUGCCGCCGUUGUUUUAUGUAGCUUUAAUCACUAAUAUUGUUAGUAAACCUAACAAGAUUAAAGAUGAUACACAUUAAUGACAAUGUAUUAUUUUAUUUUUAUUACAACACUGUAGUACCUUUUGACUACUUUCGGUACAUUGUCAUUGAUUCCUUGGAUCCUCUACGCCAUUAAUUUUGCCAAAAUUAUCAUUGAUUAUAAUUAAAUGGGACAAACUUAAAAGUUGAGUGUAAAGUAUUCAAAUUUGAGAUUUUAGGGUGUAAAAUGUUCAACAUUGAAAUUUAGCAUACAAAGUGAAACAAGUUUAAGGGUGCGAAAUGAAGUUAGUCUAAAUGAGUUCGAUAAGCGGGUUAUAACUAAGACAAGAUUUUUCUGUUUUUCAUUUUUAGCAAGAAAGGCUCAGUGAACAUAGCAAAAACGCUCUCACAAAGGAGCAAAACCAAACUACUAAGACAUAAUCUCAAAUUGUCUGAGCCAGUUUAUGGAGAAAUCUCGCAGGAGUUUUGAUGAACCAAAAUUUUAUAGUAGGUAGUUCUAAUUGUAUGACUCGUACUCAUAGUAGUAUUACUUCUUCUUUUUUUCUGCUGGUCUUGUUUGUUAAUAUCACAAGUUGUACAAUUUACAGAUUACCCGUUUUGGCCUACUUGAAUGAGACAGCAAAUUUUUUUUUCAAGAGAAAGUUUCAUACACUAAUCAAAUCAAUCUGAACAAGCAAAAAAAGACAGUCUAUUCUUUUGUUCGAAGUAUUUGGCAUCAGAAUCCGGCAAUUUUCAGUUGGAGUGUUGGUCUCUAGCUGCCGACAAUUGUAAUUUAAUUAGUAGUUCACAAGCCAUUAUCUGUUUCUCUCUUCUUCAUUAUUCUUCCAACCUUGACACAAUUGUUUUUUAAUGGUUUUCUGAUAUUCUUCUAAGCAAUUCAGAAUUUGACGCCUUAUGCCCUACCACCACCUAAUCAUUCUCUUCUUUAUCUAUGAUUUUUUAUUUUUAUUUUUAUUUUUGUGGGACAAUAUCAUUUCAAAAGGUUUAAAGUUUGGACUAUUUAGGAACCCCAAAAAAAAAAAAAAAAUUGGACAGCAUUGUUUGUUUGUUAUACAAAAGAAUGAAAAUGAGGUUUGGCUAUUGUAGCAGCUCGUGAAUGCUACACGAGGUUCCCGGGGCGACUCCCGUUGUGAGCGCCAAGUUCAAAUAGCCCAGGGUCAGGCCUUACCCCGAGCAAGAGUCAGACUCUGCGGCCGGGCCGAAUCCGGAUUAGUUGGAACACUGGCUCCGGAUACCGGGUGGUCUGACCAAAAAAAAAAAAAAAAAGAAAAGAAAAUGAGGUUCGGCCAGUGGAUCCAGUGCUUAAUGAAAUCCAUUAACUUAGCUGCUGGCCCUGCUGGCUCAAUAGGCUCCCAAAACUUUUAGUGGGCCUUUUUAAGGGCCAGAAGGAUGACAGGCCGUAAGGAACCAAUGUUCUUGCUGAAAAUCCAGGCACUUGUACUUGGUUUUGUGAGCAGAAGCACAGCCGCAUCAAACCAAAGUAUCAAUUUUGUGUUGAGAAGAAAAAAAGGAAAAUUUAAAAUUUAUUGGUCCAUGUAUAUUCACAUUUUUUUUGACAAACAUCUAUAUUCACAGUUCAAAAUGUGUCUCUAUUUUACAACUUUUUAUGAUGCUUUUUUUUUCAUUUCCUUCUUGGGAACUAUAUAAAAAAUGAAAAGUUUCAGUGCAAUUUGAUGAAACCUAAUUAAUCAUCACUUACCAAAAAAUGGUGAAUAAUUCAAACUCAAAAUAAGAUUUGGAAAGAUACUUCUCACCCACCCAAGUUUGAUAGGCAAAGGUACAUACAUUAUGUCUUGUUGUCGUUUCAGAAAAAAUGAUAGGGAAAAUAAAUUAAAUUUAGAAUUUUGAAGUAGAAGGAGGAAGAAAGUCUUGGACAAUUAAUAUUUACUCAAUUUGAAAAAUGAGAUUAAUUAAGAAGCUAAAAAAUGUUAAGACUAGGAAUUCAUGGAAAAUUUGCGCAGAGUGCAUACUUUUUUGGCAUAAACCAUGCAGAACUGAUCAUUGGCAGUACAAAUCGACUAACUAAUUGCAUGAGCAUUAUAACUAGCACUUUAAACUAGAGACCGGAUCUAUGGUAUUGUUUACAAUGUCUAUUGCUGUUGCACAAAUUGUUUUACAUUAGUAAGAUAUGCAACAAAAUAGACUCCAUUGAUGUCAUCCAAAUAAGUAGACAUUUAUAUAGACUAAUACCACCAAAAUGCCUCUCUCGUAUAGUUAUCCCCCACUAAGAGAAUCAUCAGACUUCACUCUUAUCAUGUUUUUGUCUAAAUUCAACAUCCCAAAUUUAUUUUCAUUAAAAUUUUCCUCUCUUAUAUGGUAAAAUGGGACCUAAAUUUGUCAAAAAAAAAAAAAGAAAUAAUUCUUUUGUAUGGUAAAAUGGGACCUAAAAUUAUCACAACAGAAAAGAAAUAAUUUUUUUAAUUCAUCUUUUUUUUUAAGUGUAAGUUAAAGGUUUCGAAUCCAAGAUCUCUCACUUAUACUCCCUCUCCCCGUACCAUCCAACUCAACUCAUCCCUCCCUUCUUGAAUUCAUCUAUUAAAAUUUGCCAUAUCUAAAUGAAUAGCAUCAUAGAUUGACAAUAUAAUCAUGACCUGGAAAUAAAAUAUAUAUUUAUAUAUAUAUCCAAUUCAGAUAGAAAAAUCUCAUCUUUACUGAAUCAUCAUCAUCAAGUAAUACAACACAAUUAACCAAAACCAAAAAAUAUGAAAAAAAAAACCCAAAACAAAAUAUGAAAAAAAAAAUUCUAAAAAACAACUAAUCAAUAAAAAUUAAGAUAACAAAACGUAGAUAUGGAUAAGGGGCUUACGUGAAGGUGAUUGAAAUCUAAAAAUCGUUAAGAUGAGACGUCAGCAACCGGACUUUGAUUUCCCAAUUAUAAUAUUUUUCCAAAAAAAAAAAAGAUAAAAAGAAAACGUAUUAUGUAUAAAGAGUCUUUAUAAUUCCAACUAUCAGUGGCUUGAUUUCUAUUUUCACCUAAAGAUUUCAUGCAAUUACUGUUCACAAAGGUUUGCAAUUUUGCGUGCAUGCAUCAUUAAUUCCAAUAGUCGCAAUAAUCAAGGUAUGUGAUGUGCAUUUGUGCUAGCAAUUGUCCAUUCUCAUUAAUUUCUUAAAAAAUAUAUAUAAAAAUACAAAUUAAGAGACUAUUUGCAAUUAAAAGACUAAUAAUAAAAUUAAUCCAUAAUCCGAGAUGCUCGUAAUAACUUUCCAAAUACCUGUGUUCCCAAUAUUUGAUAUAGCUUAAUGAUGAUUUCUUCUUCUUUGGUAAAAUUUCACCGAUAUCAAUGAAAUAAUAAUGGAUUUGAUUAGCAAUUAGGAGUUUAAUAAGUUCAUCAUUUAUUUGAUGAUUAGUGUUUGUAUUAGUGUCAGUAUUAGUAUUUGAAUAGAAGAUGAGAGGCUAAUAAAGUUCAAAUUGUAAACAUUAGCAUGUAGGCAAAUUGUUUUAAUUGUACAUAAUACUUGAUUUUACAUUUAAGCUAAUAUUUAUAUAAUUUUGGGCAUAUUAGUCAAAUCAAAAGAGUAAGAAACACCUAUCGAUAAAUCAUUCAAAAUAUUUUUAUAUAUGAUAUAGAUACUAUCAAAGUAAAUAUGCAAUAUGUACUUAUUUCUAACUAAGUUGAGGCUUUAGUUUGAAGGGCAGAAGAGGAAUGAGUUCAGUGGUACAGAAGGAUAAAACGUAAGCAGGUCCGGAUUCAUAUCCUCUCAUUUACACUUCAAAAAAGUAAAAUAAAAUAAAAUAAGUUGAGGCUUUAGUUAUACUAUUAUCAUUUUUGGUUUUUCCCAAAUUGAAAACUUGAUUUUUGGGGUUGAUGCAGCCUUUAAUAUUGUAUUACUACUACCGUUGUGUGUGUCUCUCUCUAUUGACCAAAAAAUUCUACCCAUAAAGGGAAUAGCAAUUCAAGUCAGGGUAGCACCGUAGCAGGAAGCAAUACUGGAUCAAAAUAAAACACUGGAUCUCUUCCUUAUAUGCAAGCUUCUUUGAUUGAUCACUCCGCUGGUUCUAUAACUAUUUUGGUGGCCUGGCAAUGUUGUACAGCAAUCUACAGAAGUGUAUAUACAGCAGACAUGAUUCCAGAACGGUGAUUGAUCACCAAGAAUACUAAUGGGUAAAUAAUCCAACACGUUGCACUAUGGUGGCUGCAACAAAAUGUGCGGUUGUGAGCUCAACCACACCAUUCAAGGUUGACAAUAUGUUAUACAUGCCCCGAGAAAAACAUUGUCCUACAUAUUAUAUUUUCAACGGCAAAAUCCAAAAUGAUUUGUCCUCAAACCUACUCUUUUAGCAUGUUCUGUCCUGUUUUUGGGGUAUUUCAGAAGUUCCCUGGAGGUUUUUGGCAUUUCUCUUGAGGAUUUUGACUUGCAUUUAUCUCCCCUAUUUUAAGUUUUAAUGUGAAAAUGUCAUAUCAUAUAUAUACAUAAAGAAAAACUCGUAUGAACUGCUUACAAGUUGAUUUUCUUACUCAAAUUUGAGGAUCUACUUUAUCUCUAAGGACAAGGUGCAAAGCCGAAAUUUCCCAGGAUAAUCUAAAUCCCAUUUUCACAUGUGCUGUUAAAUCUUGCUAGAAGUGAAAAUGCUAGGUGCGCUCUACGAACUAUAAAGCCAAUUAAUUGCCUAAAUUUCUUGUAUUCCAUGUAAUUAGUACACUAAGUGUCUGUUUGAUAACAUAAAAAAGUGCUGAAACUGAAUUCAUUCAGACAUUCAGAUGUUUUGGGUAUUUGAUAAAUAAAAAUUUUUCUGCUGAACUUAUUAAGUGGUGCUGAAUUUGUAUGUAUUUUUUUCAGCACAAGAAUCGUAACUGAAUGCUUAAUUUGAUAAGAAUCAAGAAAUUUACUUCAACUACUUUUAUCUUAUCUACCAAAUCUAUUAUUGUUUGUUAAUUACAUUCAAAAUCCUUAUCUAAUUAAACAACUUAAUAUUCUCUAUCCAAAAUCCUUAUCUAAUUAAACAAUCUGACAUUCUCUGUCUAAUGGCUUUCUACUUCUAUUUUCUCCAUAUUUAAUGACUUUUUUACAAUUUUCCCAUGCUACUCACAUCUGUCUACUCCUUAUCUUUUUCCAUCUUUCUACUCUUUCAUAAUUUUGUCAUUUUUUUCCUCCCAAUUUUUUUUAUUGCUACCAUACUCACCUAUCUCAAAUUCAUUAUUUCCAAGGUAGCGUCAACAUUUUUCCAUUGAAGUAAUUAAAUUUCUAUAUAAUUUGGUGUGAAUUUAAAACUUGUUUAUUGCAGCUUCCUUUUGCUUAUAUUUGGACUUUUCUUAUCAAACUCUGAUUUAAAAAUAUAUUUGCACCGAUAUUUGGACUUUUCCAUAAUAUAUUUCUUCUUUUAUAUUACUUUGAUUAAAAAUAAAUAUUGUCAUUUUCAUACCUAACAAUUUUAAACUAAUUAAAUCAUAGUAUCUAUUUCCUUUUUGGAUUAAAAGAUAGAAGGGCAAAAUUGUACAAUUUAGCUUAUUAAGCAUUAAGUUAUAAAUGUUUAUCAAACAGUAUAAAUAUGUUCAGCAUUAAGAUUCAGAUAUUCAUAUAUCUCUUUUCAGUGCUUAAUAUUCAGCAAAUUAAUUGUUUCAGUAUUCAGAAUUCAGAAUUCAGUUUUAUAAAACGGAGCCUAAGGUUCCGUUUGAUAAAACUGAAUAUGAGUUCUGAAACCUGAAUAUGAAAUAAUUAAUUUGCUGAAUAUAUGAAUGUCUGAAUUUUAAUGCUGAACCUAUUUAUACUGUUUGAUAAACAUUUAUAACUGAAUGCUUAAUAAGUUAGAUUGUACAAUUUUGCCCUUCUAUCUUUUCAUCCAAAAAAGAAAUAGAACUUAUGAUUUAAUUAGUUUAAAAUUAUUAGGUAUGAAAAUGAUAAUAUUUAUUUUUAAAUCAAGUUAAUAUAAAAGAUGAAAUAUAUUAUAUGAGGAGUAUGGAGAAAAUGUGAAAGUCAUUAAAUGUGGAGAAAAUAGAAGUAGAAAACUGUUAGAUAGAGAAUAUCAGGUUGUUUACUUAGAUUAGGAUGUUGAAUAGAGAAUAUCAAGUUGUUUAAUUAGAUAAAAAUUUUGAACAUAAUUAACAAACAAAGAUAGAUUUGAUAGAUAAGAUAAGGUAGUUGAAGUAAUUCUAUUGAUUCUUAUCAGAAUUAAGCAUGCAAUUACUAUUUUUGUGCUGAAAAAGAUAGACAUAAAUUCAGCAUUAUUUAACAAGUUUAGCGGAUAAAUUUUUAUUUAUCAAACACUCAAAACAUCUGAAUGCCUGAAAAAGUUCAGUUUCAACACUUUUUUAUGCUAUCAAAUAGAACCUAAGUAAGCAUAAAAUUUUGAGCAAAUAAGCCAUAGACGUUACACUUUCAAGUCAUACUAUUAUCAUUUACCCUCAACGUAAAUAUAUACCAUAAUUAUUCAUCACUAAGCGUCUGAAGGUUUGGUUAUAAUUAUUUUUUCUUGUUCUGCGAGUGCUAAAUAUGGGGAGGCAAUAUUUGAUUACCAUCUUAACACGAAAAGUAUCUUUAGCCUCAUUGGAUUUCCAUAUUCUCCAAAAUUUCUAGCAACAAGAUAAUAACAAUUCAAAGCAUGGUAAGAGGAAUCCGUUAUUGCAUUCAAGUACAAGGACUUGGCAUUGAUGCUCUUUUGUUUUUGGCAAUUCGAUUUGAUUGCGCACAUGUUUAAAUUCUUGGAUGUACAAUUAUAUUAUAUUAUUAUAUGAAGCGAAUAUGAAGUAUUUUAUUUAUGUACACUAUUUGUGUCAUGAGUUUACUAAUAGUAUAUAAUUAUGGAUCUGUCUACCUGAGAACUCGUUAAGAUAUAUUUCAGUUGCAAUAUUUUUUAAAAUGUAAAAUUAAUUGGGAAAAGAAAAUAAAUACAAGAAAAGAUGUGUAUUAUUAAAUAAAAAAAUAUAUAAGUACAAGAGACGGUAAUGAUUGUUUAAUGUGUACGUAUAUAUUAGAUUAGAUGAAUAUUAGAUUUAUCAAUGAGUACACUAUAGAUACCGUUAGAAAGAUGUGUUAAUAAAUGCACUAUAAAUACUGUUAGAAAAAGCCUAUAAUUAUACAUCAAAUAAUGUAAUAAGUACAACCAUAUAAUGAUGUAAUAAUACGUAAUUAUGCACCGAAGUCAGCAGCAUCAGCUGAUUCUGGGAACUGGAACGGUAUACAGCUGCCAAAAAUCCACAUGGGCUUAUCUAAAAUCUCUAUAACAACCUGAAAUUCAAAUGGGUUAUCUACAAUCUCUCCUUCCCUUCCCUUUCCAUCAAUAAAUACUUCCGUUUGUUCUUCCAAUACCAAUUUUCAUCCUCUGGAUUCUGACAAAAUAUUCAUUGUAUCUUUCCACCACUCAGACUAAAGAAUAGAAACAAAUAAGAGUAGCCGCUUCUUUUGAGCACUGUUGAGCCUUGCUGCCUUCAACGGCAACACCAGAAGUCCUCUUUCUCUUCGCUUUCUCCUCUCUGCUCUCUCCUCACUCCACUCUAUCUGGAAUACAAGGUAACUUCAACACGAAAACUCCCUCUUCUCUCCCAUUUCCAUAGCAAAAGACGUGCAUGCAAAUUCUUAAAGUUAAAAUUGUUCAAGAAAAUGUUGAAUGCUGUUCUUGUCCAAUGCUAUCAAGAGAACAAAGUCUUCCAACCCUUCAAGGAUUCCUAACUUUUUAUUUCUCUUUUAUUAUCCUACACAUUUAUUUGUUUGUGUAGAUUCCAAUUUACCACUUGCAGAUCAUAUAAUUAGCAGAUUAACUAGUCGAAGUCGUGGCUAGAAGCUAAAUUUCAUAGGCAUCUUUUACAAAAGUGCAUAUAAGCAAAGGUUGGAUUAUAUCAUGAGGCUUUCUCAAGUGGUGAAUUUUUUGUCAAUGCAGUUGAUUUUGGGAGUGAAUUUGGUGGUAUCAAAUAUUUAUAAGCAUGUCUAAGAUGAGAGUGGCAGUGGUGGGUGCUGGGAUUAGUGGGCUGGUUGCAGCUCAUGUUUUGGCCAAGGAAGGUGUCGAUGUGGUAAUAUACGAGAAAGAGGAUUACUUAGGCGGCCAUGCUAAGACUGUUACUAUGGAUGGCAUUGAUCUUGACCUUGGCUUCAUGGUCUUUAAUCGUGUAAGACAAAGCAAUUUUAUGUUCCUUUUGUCAGUGCAUUUUGUUGAUUCUUAUGAACUUUGGGUGCAUCUUUUCCCCAUAAAUAGUCUAGGAAUCAUUCUUAAUGCUCCAUUCUCUUCACAUCUAAGUUUUCAACUUUUCAAGAAUUUCACAAGAAGAAAAAAAUACCAAAAGCAUUGUUUACAAUUCCAAUAGUACUUGAGAAAAAUAAUUACUCUUUCAGCUUCAUAACAAACCAUAAUUAUUUAGCCUAGCAAUAUUUCUUGUUAUUCGACUAGUGCAGAGCGAAUACUCCUCAUUUUAGAACUCAACUUCCAAUUUCGGAUGAUGCAUCCCGGUUAGAGAUCCUUUUCUCAGUUAAAAUACGAGGACUUGUCAAAGUAAAAUAAGGAAAAACUGCUUGAGUUAGGUGUUGUAAAAUUACAAGAACCUAAGUGAAAAUUUUUUCUCGACAUGAAUAUGGAUAGAAAGGGAUGGAUGUAGUUAUAGGCAAUAAUUCCUGAUUCUGAUUGUGCCACGACCUCAGCAGAGCUUGACCACAUUCACUAACUAACGGGACAGGGGUGAACGGUUGUCAGGAAAAUCGUUCGGGCAUCUUUUGUGCAAAAUGUAUAAAAUGUAAUUUUGUAUGUACAUAAUAUAAUUUACUUUCAAUAACGUGUAAUUAUAAAAUAAAAUUUUGUGAGUCUCACACAUGAUAUGAAAAACGAUGUACCAGAUACAAUUUGAACUUUAUAUUUUUUUUUGCCAAAUCUUGACCAUGAACCUUUAGAAACUGUUGCAACCGUUGCAUCUGCAACCGUUCCUGCCCCUCCUCCUCCUUCUCUAACAUCAUAACAUAUGAGUCAACUCUGUUCUAAUGAAUAAAGCAUUAUCAGGACUAGUAAUAAGGGCAGACUCGAUGUGUGUGCGCAUGCAAUUUAAGAAAAAUCACUUUUUGCAUGAAAGAAGUCAAUAUAAAAUUUUUAUAAAUAAAAAAAAACUUUGAUCUUUCAAAAGUUUUUUUGAAUAAAAUUUUAAUGAACUUGGUGGUUAUAAUGUUUGUGGGUGGUUAUGAUUAAAUUAAAAAAAAGAACUUUGAUCUUUCAAAAAAAAUUUAAUAAAAUUUUAAUGAACUUGGUGGUUACAAAUUGUGGGUGGUUAUAUUGGUUGGCAAUAUAGGUAACAUGUAAUCAGAUAACAGAGGUAUAAUCAAGUGAUUGUGAGAGUAAAAUUGAAAAUCUAAAAAAUGAUAAUAAAAAAAAGUUUACACCAGACUCAAUAUCUCCGAGAAGGGUUGGGUUGGAUUAGAGGUGGCAAAUCAACCCACUUAAUUAAAUUUACCCAUACCCGCCUAUGAAUAGAUGGGUAUGGAUAUCUUAAAUUUUUGUAUAUGGGUAUAAAUGGGUUACCCAAUAAUACCCAUUUAAUAAAUGGGUAUUAUUGGGUAACCCAUCAAACCCAAUUAACCCAUUUAGAAUUCUCUUCCUCCCAAGUCUCUUCUUUUUCCCCACCCAUUUUUUUUUUCAAAUUUUUCAUUUUGUCAUGAUGUUAACUACUUUUUUUUCAUUAUUAUUAUUAUUAUUAUUAUUUGUUGGUUUUAUCUUAUUAUUUUAUUUUAUCUUAGUUUGUUAACUUGCUCAUUUUUCAGCAUUACUCAUUUAUGAUAAAUUUUAGCCUAUUUUCUUAUCUUUCUAAAAUGAAAUUUUAAAUUUAUAUAUGAAAAAAAUGUUAGGGGUUCAAAAUUUUUGGAUUAAGUUUUUAUAUUAAUUUUUAUAGUACUUAGUUCAAAUUUUUAUAUUCUUAUUAUUCAAUUAUUAAAUAAUAGGUAAUUUUGUGACAUAGAGUAUAAAUGAAAAAAAAUUGGUAAUUAAGUUUAUUGAACAUUAUAAAUAAAUAUUUAAAACUAAUGAUGGGUACAAAGAGUGGUAUAAAUUGAUAACUUAGUUUGCAAAAAUGAAUUUAAAUGAGUUUACAAAAAGUUAAAAUAAAUGGGUUAUAAAUGGGUAAUUGGGUUACCCAAUUCAUUUUUUGACUUACCCAUUUAUACCCAUCUAAUUAAAUGGGUAUAAAUGAGUUGACUCACCUAUACCCAUUACCCAUUUUAUCCAACCCAAACCCGUCCAAGUCACCCAUUUUGACACCUCUAGGUUGGAUGGUGAGAUGGGAGUAAUUAUAAAUAAAACUUAACGCUCUUCUAUUAUAUACAGUAUAGAUAUUAAUACCAUAAUAUUCAUUUAUAGAAGCCGAAAAUGGUACUUAACUCACAUCAUAUACUUAUCAGCAUGGCAUGAUUCUUUUCCAACGCAUAUAGAUGCAUAUGAUCAGUUGGUGGUCUUUUUCAUGAAAUUUUAAUUUUUUCGAGAUAUGAUAAUUAAAUUUUGGGGGUAUCUACUUAUGUUCUUGUCUUAGCAUCUAUCCUAGCAUUUUGUUGAUCACAUAUGAAGAUAGAAACAAACAUCUUUAAACAAAAGUAUAAUAUGUUAGAGAAAAUGUGAUGGCUCAAGAACUUCAAAAAAAAAAAAAAAAAAAGGGAGACGGACAGUUCUUUUUAUUCUCCUUUUAUGCGAGUAGCUAUCUAACAAUUGCUAGGGUUCUGUUUUUUUUUUAAAAAAAUGUGCCUAUUGUCAAUACACAUAAUGUAAAUUUAAUUGAUUAAUUAAAUGCUCACACUUACAUUUUGACUCUUUCCCAAUAAAAUUUCACUUAUUAAGCAAACUAACAUUAAGAAGUUCAAACCAAUGAAAGUUCUAUUUAUUAGAGGAAAAAAAAAACAAAUGCUAGAAGAAACAAAAAUGUGGCAAAAUUUUGUUCUUGAAAAAGCGUAAAAAUGAUGCAUGCAUCUUUACGUAUUUUUAGAUUGUCAUGGCUCUGUUUUAUGGUUUUAAAUUUAGUUACUUAUAUUAUUCUAAAAGUAUUUGCCAAAAUUAUAGUCUAGCAGCUGAAUAUUUUCUUAAUCUUCUCUUUAGCGACUGACUGCCGUCGUAAUCAAGAAAGGAUUUUUUUUUUUUUUUCCUUUACAAGGAAUUUUAGAAGUGAAAAUGUGACCAUAGAAGUCAAUUACAGAAGCUACUUUCAUCUCAAUUAAGCCAAGAUUGGUCCUAAUAUUACAUCAAUGCACGUUUUGUCUCUAUGCUUCAAUGAACUAAGGCCUAUCGCUGUGUUUGGAUAUGGCUAAACGUUGUUAGAUAUUUCUCACCCUAAUUCUACUUUGCACUCUUGAACUAUUCGAUUCUCACUUUGGUCGGUAAAUUUUAAGUUUAGAACACUUUUGCUCCAUAAAUUUUAAACUCGACAAUGGUUAACAAAAUGCACAAAAACCAACUGAAUACCUUUGCUAAUCUUGAUUACUUCAUUGCUAAAACUAAAAUAUUCUGUUAGUUUUGUAUAUUCCAUUAACAAUUGGAUUAAGGUGGGACAAGUUUAGAUUUUGGACAGUAACAUAUACCAAACUUUAGUUCAGCAACCAAAAUAUGAACUGUAGUAGAGUUUUAAAGAUGUAAAAUUGAAUUAACCCGUAUUUUUGAAGUUUAACCUUAGAUAUUUGUUAAUAAAUGGUUUUUGAUAAGGGACCAUCUCUGUUGUUAUCUUCCAAAAUCCUAACUCCUAAAGUGUCAGUGAUGGUAUUUUGUAGUACACCUUGCUGUUGAUAAGAUUUUGGGACAUGGGAUUUUUUGGAGGGUUGUGGUGUGGGUGGGUUGGGGGGGGAGGGGGGCAGGGACCAUUAGCAAAUAUCUCUUCUUCAUGAAGGCUUUUACAGAAAAGAAAUGGUACUAAAAUGAUAAAAUCUGCCAAGUAGAAUUCUAAGAACACUUUUAUGCAUUACACACAGAAAAAGAAAAAAAAGAAUAUAUGGAGCAUUACUACCUUGCGAAAUUGCCAUUAUUUAUUGGUUAUUGGAAUAUGAAGCAUACAAAAUUUGAAUGCAUUCUAAACCUGAAUCUGGUUAUAAAUUUUGGUAGUUAAAAAAGGGCAUGAAGAAAUUCCAGAAAAAAUAGGGAACCCUUAAUCAUAUUGAACAAGCAGCUGCUCAAGCCACAAGGAUGCAGGUCUGCUAAUUCAAAUGCUUUGUUCUUUGUCGUAAAUUUUCAGGACUGUUUGCAUGGAUCAAAAUGUAGUUAGUACGAGACAUUAGCAAUGCAUGACACAAACAUUAUGUAGGAAAUAGUUGAUGAAACUGUUUUAAGCGCAAAUUGAUUUGUUUUUUCGGUUACGAUCUAAGUAGAAAAGCAAAGGUGGAAUUAAGUCAAAGAUGAUACUUAUAGCAAGACUGCUGAAUAUUCUGAAAAAUCUUUAGUUUUUAACAAGAGCAGCAACAAAAGUGGAAAGAAAUGACUGCAUGCUAUGCUAAUUUUUACUUGAGGAAAUUUGGGACUGUUUAACUAAUGGUGUGUUGGGUAAUUGGCCAGGUGACUUAUCCAAAUAUGAUGGAACUCUUUGAGAAUCUUGGAGUAGAUAUGGAGCUUUCUGAUAUGUCAUUCUCAGUGAGCCUAGACAAGGGCAAAGGCUGUGAAUGGGGGAGCAGAAAUGGAUUGUCAAGUUUGUUUGCACAGAAGAAGAAUGUACUUAAUCCAAAAUUUUGGCAAAUGAUUCGAGAAAUUGUCAAGUUUAAGGCUGAUGUCAUAAGGUAGGUUUCCUCGUCCUUUUUAGUGUUUUGAUUGAAGUAAGAAUUCCUUAAAGAAAUGUUUUUCCAUUACAUCUCAGAAGCCAAAUGAAAUGAAGCGACUGCAGAAUUCUACAUGGUGUCAAGAUUAGGAAAAAAUAGUUUUUGGUGCUAAUCAUUCAAUUCUUACCUGAAUUCCCUGGGAGCAACUAGAGGAUUUGCAUAUGCGAUCGACUUCUCCAGUUAAAUAUGCAUCUAAUGAAGGAUGAACUAACCAAAAGUUCUAUACUUAAUGCAGUUAUGUAGAAGAGCUAGAGAAAAAUCCGGACUUAGAUCGGAAUGAAACACUUGGGCAUUUCAUCAGAUCACGUGGAUACUCAGAGUUAUUUCAGAAGGCCUAUCUUGUGAGGCUCCUACAGAUGCUUUAGUUGAUGGCAAUGAUUUUCUUUUGACCAAUGUAUUAAAUGAGCUUGCUUUCACAAUAAUACCAUAAGCAUAUAUCUCUGCUUUUUGACAGGUUCCAAUAUGUGCUUCUAUCUGGUCAUGCUCUUCAGAAGGAGUAUUGAACUUUUCUGCGUAUUCUAUUCUUUCCUUUUGUCGCAACCACCACCUUCUUCAGGUAAUGUGCCUUGCAGGCACCAUUGAGAAUUUGAGAUGAACUGCACUUUUUGAAAUAAUAUGUGAUGUGGCUGCUGUUUCCCUUUGCCAUUUAGCUCUUUGGUCGCCCUCAGUGGCUCACAGUAAGAUGGCGUUCCCAGACUUACAUCUCCAAGGUAAUUAAUUUAAAUUCCUUUUGUUGUAUACCCCUGAAAAUUCCCCUGAUUGAAUGCAUAAGAGGACUGUAUAUUCUGUUAUUGUUUUGCACAAACCAGGUUAAAGAUGAUCUGGAAAGAAGAGGCUGUCAAAUAAGAAAUGGUUGUGAAGUACGCGCUGUUUCAACUAAGGAUGAGGGUAUCAACUCGUACAUUAUGCUCAAACAUUGUAGAUUUCAAAUUGGAUGGUGUUCUUUUGUUCAAGUAAAAACCAGACCAAUUAAAGCUGGAACUGGAACCAGAAUAUUGAUAUGUCAUCGUAGGACAGUUUAAAGUACAACACAACAAUUGCUUCAGAGAAACAAAUGGUUGCCUUCUACAUGAGGAAAUAGUGAAGACGCAAUCUUUAUAUACUAGCUGGUUGUAAACCAAGCAGGAUCCUUCCUAGUGUCUUCUAAAAUCUCUCUGUUUUGAGUACUUUCUACGAGUGUUUUAUUGUCUAUUCUUUUUCCUUAGUUGAGAAUUUUGGAUGUCAUGCUUAGUUUCAUGCCAAAAGACAGUACAUAACACAAUUUCCAAACUCAGAAACCAAAAUAUAGCAGUCUUGACUGUAGAGAUAUAAUUUGCUCAAUUGUUAGGUUGUGUGCUAUUGAUUAUGUUGAUACUCCCAUUCAUAAUGAAGAAGAAAUUUGUACAGGUUGUGUUGUUACAUGUGAAGAUGGUUCUCUUGAAGUAUAUAACUCGUGCAUAGUGGCUGCGCAUGCUCCAGAUGCUCUUAAGAUGUUGGGAGAGCAGGCAACAUAUGAUGAAUCAAGAAUACUUGGUGCUUUCCAAUAUGCCUACAGGUAUCUUACUUUUUAAUGUUGGCUCUUAGUUUGCUGAUUUCUUAACCUUGAUACAAAUUGUUGCUUGUCUCCUCUAGUCGUCUCCAUUCUAAAUUUUUAUCAGAAAUUGCAAAUUGUCUCCUCUAGUCGUCUCAGUUCUAAAUUUUAUCAGAAAUGCAAAGUUUGCGGUGAAUUUUUCUCUUCUCCUUUUCUUACGUCAACAUGUUUUGGGAGGUCGUAUUUGGUUUGGAGAUUUUCUUUUCGCCAAUACUUCGCUUCUGUUUCUUGUUGUAGAAGGUCUGGUUUCAAUUUUAAUAAAUAUGCUGGGUCAUGGAACCAGUUCAAAAUGCACAUUCAUUGUUUACCGCUUUAUGGCAGUGAUAUUUUCCUUCAUCGUGACAAAAACUUCAUGCCUCAAAAUCCAGCAGCAUGGAGCGCAUGGAAUUUUCUUGGAACUGUGGAUAAUAAAGUAGGUGUAACAUAUUGGCUCAACAUCCUCCAGGUUGGUGAGAUGUGUUCCCAAUAUAUUUGAUCAUUAGUUGUAUUGCUCUCAGAAUCCAUCAUAACGAACAAUUUCACAAAAAGCAUUUGAGAAUUCUGUGCAAUUGGCUUGAUCACAUUGCUAUGUAUGAGCUUUUAACUUAAAUAAUAAGUACUAGCCCUCAAAGAAAUACUGGGAACUUCCAAAAGAUGUAUCAGUAACCUCAGAAAUCAAUGUGCACGCUCAAGAUAUCAAAUAAGCUCAAUUUCUUAUUUCCAGCUUCCAGCAACUUCAUUUUCAUGUUGCUGCAUUAAUGGAAUUUAUGCAAUGUGCUUCUUCUGUCAUUAAUAUCUUCAGCAUGAAUAACAAUAUUUAGUGUACAGAAUCUAGGAGAAACUGGACUGCCUUACCUGGUAACUCUCAAUCCGCCUCAUACACCUGAGAAUACAUUACUCAGGUGGUCAACUGGGCAUCCAGUUCCAUCAGUUGCUGCCUCAAAAGCUUCUACUCGACUUAAUGACAUCCAGGGGAAGAGAGGAAUAUGGUUCUGUGGAGCAUAUCAAGGUGACCACUUCGCUUUGAAGAUCUUACAUGUCACCUUCUAAUGCACAAAAACAUUCAUUAUAAAACCAGUGCACCCAAUGUUGAAUUUUUAUGUGAGAGUUCACUUUUGCAUCUGACACUGUACUUUUUUCAGGUUAUGGUUUCCAUGAAGAUGGACUUAAGGUACUCUCCAUUUUGACAUCAUAUUGACAUAAUUAGAGUAAUUGAGUGUAGAAAAUCUUGUAGAUUGAUCAAAAGAAUGAAACCCAAGAUUAAGAAGCUGGAAAGAAAUGUUUCUAGUGAAGUAUAUUUUCUAAUGUUUGGCUUGGUUCCAGAAGUGCUUAUUAACUAUAUAGGUAAGUUAUUGGUUGCAAUUAAGCAUCUUAUCUUCUUUUCAGGCUGGUACAGUUGCUGCUCAGAGCCUGCUCAGAAAAAGUUGUACUAUCCUGAGUAACCCCAAACACAUGGUACCUUCCUGGACAGAGACUGGGGCACGCCUUCUCGUUACUAAAUUCCUCAAUGGUUUUAUUGCUACUGGCUCAUUAAUGUGAGUCAAUUCUGAGAGUAAACUAAUUCUCAUUUGCAUGCUAUAUAUUUUCACAAAGAAGACUUAGAACAAAGGCAUACUAUACCUAUUUAUUGAACUUAUCUGUCUAUCGAAUUUGUAUCCCUGUUUAUCGAACUUAUAUCUGUCUAUCGUUUACAUUCUAAUACUGCAGUGGUUUGUCUAUGUUACCAUUUACAUUCUUUUUCUCUCAAAUCCAAAUUCUGUUUGACUGUUUUGUCAUUAAUUAAUUCCUAAACUUUAACCGGAUUUAUCAUUGGUUCUUCAGUAGACCUGCUCACGUAUGCCAAAUUUGCUUGUUAUUGAAUAUUAGCUCCCGAUGUGAUUAAAUAAGCAUGUUUUUUCUUAGUUUUUUGAUGUUUAAAAGUUGUUUUUAAGAGUCCAAUCUAUAGGCCUAAAGCUCCAAAGUUACAUGCAUUAUCUGUGUUUUCUGUUUUAACAGGUUACUGGAAGAAGGUGGCACAAUGUUUACCUUUGAAGGAACAACAAAGAAAAGCUUCCUGAAAGUUUCUAUUAAAGUUCACAGCCCACAGUUUUAUUGGAAGGCACAGUAUUUCUUUGGUUGAUGUUUAAAGCAUUUGAACAUAGUCUCCAGUUGCAUACGCUUUGAGUUUGCCUUCAUUCCAUGUCAAUGUUGUAUUGCCAGGUUGCUACUCAAGCCGACUUAGGCCUUGCAGAUGCCUAUAUAAACGGGGACAUUUCUUUCGUGGAUAAAAAUGAAGGUUUGCUUAAUCUUUUCAUGGUAAGUAAAUGAACACCAAACAACUGUCAAGCUUUUUCAUCAACAUCCCUUUUCUGAAUUCUUCAUUUCAGGUUUAUGUUGCCAACAGAGAUCUUAAAGCUUCUGCUACAAGUUCUAGCUACCAAAGGUAAAAGGAUUUUCAGUUAGAUGUGUUUAGAUGUUAGUGAGUAGUUUAUCCAGAGAUCCAGAGUCCCGCCAUUUCCUUAGUUUUGGUACGCAUGCAUUUAACCUUUUUGGCAGAGGCUGGUGGACACCACUGCUUCUGACGGCUGGACUAGCAUCUGCAAAGUACUUCUUUCAGCAUGUUUCAAGACAAAAUACUCUAACACAGGCUCGCCGAAACAUCUCUCGGCAUUAUGAUCUGGUGAGUCAUUUAUCAAUGAACAGUUCAGCAAGAACACACUUAAAUAUGACAUUGCUAGGAUAUUCUUCCUGUUGACUUAGCGAGGGAAUUGAUACUGUCUUCCAUUUUUCAGAUUAGAACUGUUUCCUAAGAGAUUCUCACAAUCUCCAAUCCUUUUCUUUUCUUUCUUUAAUUAUGAAACAAUUUCCUUUUUUGGAAUAAGAAUACAGUACUUGUUGUAUUUGGCUUUACGUUGGCAAAUUGUAAUUUCUUUCUGAUGAAAGUUAUUGGCCUAACUAUUGAGCAGAAAGUUAAUCAAGACUUCUUUCCUUGUAAUGUCUCCAGAGCAAUGAACUAUUUUCUCUGUUUUUGGAUGAAACAAUGACGUAUUCAUGUGCAAUAUUUAAGGUAAGAAUUUAAGCCUUGCUGUAGUAUAGUAGUCUUUUCAAAGCUGAAUUACAGCGAAACUUAUUUUUUGUCUUGACAUCUGAAAGCUAUCCCUUUUUGUGUACUUGUCAUAGUCUGAAGAUGAGGACUUGAAAAUUGCACAAUUGAGAAAAAUUUCCCUAUUGAUUGAAAGGGUAAGCAUUCUACUUUUUGUAAGUCCCUCAAAUUCCUAAGCUGGUUUGUAAUCAAAGCCAUGUCUGUUCAUACUUACCUACUGCAAAUCGACUUUUAGGCCAGAAUCAGUAAGGACCACCAUGUCCUGGAGAUUGGCUGCGGUUGGGGAAGUCUAGCUAUUGAAGUUGUCAAAAGAACUGGAUGUCAAUACACUGGAAUCACCCUUUCUGAGAAGCAACUUACAUAUGCAGAACAGAAAGUGAGGGAAGUUGGGAUGCAGGUAUCAAAAUCAAUGGCUCUGGAACUUUACAAAACCGAAUUGGACAUCAAAACUCAAUUUAGAUGAACUUAAAAAGUGUAGUUCUUGUAAUGUCUGAAUGUGAAGAUCAUGUUUAAUCCGAAUAAUCACAAUCCACAAUCUGGUUGCCAUCUAUCUUAUUAUGCAGUUACCAACAGUAACUAUGAACAUUGAUUUCAUAAUGGAUCAUUUCGUGUUUGUCUGCUACUCUUCAAAAAUUGAAUGUUUGGGGAUGGUAGGUAGGGUGUCUGUACAAGACCUAUUAUUGGUGCACCACACAAAUACUACGCACCACUUUGGAUGCAUGGUUGGGUAAAUGAUUUUGCACAAGACUGUUUACCAUUUGAUAAGUAGUUUAUGUCCAUAUUGCAUUAAAAGUGUUCUCUGUAUCUAUGCUUGUGAUCCUUCUAGCCAAUUUCAGAUGAUCUAUUUGUUAUCAUUUUAGACUGAUUUAGUGCUAUCUAAAUUGAACUGUUUCCAUAAACUUCCUCACUUAUUUUGCUACGUUUCAUUUCCUAGGAUCACAUAAAAUUUCUUCUUUGUGACUAUCGUCAAUUGCCAGAAACCUAUAAAUAUGACAGAAUCAUAUCUUGGUAAGUUCUUUCAUUAUUAUUUUUGCAUUUUAUUUUUUGACAUCAUACAUCACUAGGCCAAUGAGUAUAUAACAGAAUUGAUGAUAAAUUGCAGUGAGAUGUUGGAAGCUGUUGGUCAUGAAUAUAUGGAGAAGUAUUUCAGUUCUUGCAACUCAGUAUUGGCAGAAGAUGGGAUUCUGGUCCUACAGGUAAUUGGACUAGAAAUUAAAUGAAGUCAAUCGAUCUUUUUCAACUCUUCUGGGUUCCUUGAUCAGGCUACGUGUUUUAGCUUGUGAGAAUCCUUCAAUGAAAUGCUCGAUCUGGCAUAAUGCUUGUUUUCCGUGUUUGCUUUUGGUGUCUUUUUCUUCCAAUGAGACUUAUUUUUACAAUUACAUCUUGUUUGCUUCUUGAAACUCUCUUAAAAAUAAUGGUCUAGUACUUGUAGAGUUCCUUAUCCAGCCUGAUCAUCAUUUUAGUAUUUUGUUUUGGCUGUCAAUAUACAAGAAAAAGAAAAAAUCAGUCUAAUCUGCUCAUGGUUGAAAACAAUGAUCUUAACUCUAUUUUUCAAUGGCCAAAAGCCCAGAACUAAUUGAUAAAUGUGACUUGUGAAUGAAAGAUGAUGAUCACUGACUGAUGCGGACAUCAAAGUUUCUGCUAAACAGAUUAAGGAGCCUUUUCAAACUUCCACAGUAACUUAAUCUUCUUUCUCGAUUUAAGCCAACGUCUUCCAAACUUCUUGCCUGAACCUCCUUGCAUUCGAAUUAAAUAAAUGGAAGUUUGAAAGGGCUCCUUAAUCCAUUUAGCACAAUCUUUGAUGUCUGCAUCACUCACUAUAGCCAGUUAGUUGAAAGGUUCAUGUGACCUUAAGACUUGCUGAUCUCCAUGGAUGCAUGAUCUUUGCUCCUCAGUUUAUAUCAAUACCAGAUGAGAGGUAUGAAGAAUACAGACAAAGCUCAGACUUCAUAAGAGAGUACAUCUUUCCAGGUGGUUGCCUACCUUCACUUAGCCGAGUAACAUCAGCGAUGGCUGCAGCAUCCGGACUGUGGUAAAGUUACACUGCUGUGUGAAAUGUGUUUGAAGCUUUCUCUAUAUAGGAAACUCAUAAAAGUACCUCAAAUGCAGCGUGGAGCACCUGGAAAACUUUGGAAUCCAUUACUAUCAUACCCUUAGGCGUUGGAGGACAAACUUCCUGUCAAAACAAAGGUAUCUGUAAUAUAAUCAGCACUAUGUUCAUUCCCGUUAGUUUCAGCCACCUGAGGCGAUAAUAAAGAAUAUAUGGUUCUUCUUUCAGAGUUUUAGUGAACAAAAUUCCAAAUUUUGGUUUUAGUUUGAAGUCCUUUGACCUGAAAGCUCGUUCCAAGCUUAUAAGAACUGAUGUUCUGCAAGGAAUAAGCACCAGCAUAAAUGUCUUGGCAUUCUAUACAGAAUAAAGCAAGGCUGUGCUUGGAUCGAGGAAUUUGACAAAAGAUUUGAAAUUCUCUCAAUUCCCUAGAGGUUUGAAUUGCUUGGGAUGCAUUUGAGUUUGUAAUCCACACCAGUUACAAACCCAAAUCCAACCUAGAAGGGUUUUAGGAACUUUACACCUUUCGUUAGUUAAAUCCCUCGAUCCAAACGUAGCCCAAGAGAAUUGUGCUACCUUUCUUCUGGUGCCACUUAUAGUUCUUUCAUUCAUAGUAAACCAUAUAUAGUUCUAGCUUUUGUGACUUGGAAACUGAUUGGCGCGUUAAUGCCUUUGUCCUCAGUGAAAUCCUGGAAUUGGGUUUCGAUGAAAAGUUCAUCCGGACGUGGGAAUACUAUUUUGAUUAUUGUGCUGCUGGAUUCAAAACAUGCACACUUGGAAACUACCAGGUACAAACCAUGAAAAACUAUUCUGCUCAUCAUUUUUCAUGUUUCUGAGUUUAAUCCAACACGAUUGUCUGAAUGAUGUCAUCGUAGGUUGUAUUUUCCCGGCCUGGCAAUGUUGUAUCCUUUGGCAAUCUACAGAAAGGUGUACCUUCAGCCUAUUGAUUGUUCAUCCUAUGAAGAGGAAAUGAUCUCCAUCUCAAGAGAAACAACAGAAGAAUUCAAUCCUAGAUAGAUGACCAAUAGCAUAAACGCCUUACCAUUUUAGUCUUUUAAGCUCCAAUAUUGAUUUCUGCUCAAGAUUUCAUUUGGUUAGUCCUUCACUGCUUCCCAAAGAAGCAUGAAAAACAAAACAAGAAAUAAAGGUAAAAGAACCAAAAGUAGAGAAACAAACGUGCAAAGUUGAUUCACAACUAGCUUCACAAUGUUGCAAGUGUCUUUGUCGAAGGCAUAGAAACAGAUCACCAAGAAUUGCUUGUGGAACGAAGAUUGGUUAAAACCUUGAAUUUGCAUUCAACUGUAGUCGUGAUUUGCAGUCAAAAUCUAAAUGUGACUGGGAUUACACCAUAAGAUAUGGUUGUAUUUGAACUCUUAUCGUAGAUUGGAAACCUUAACCACGAUAAAUAUAGUUAGACACCAAUUUUAAUAGAACUCAAAAGUAAUGCCAUUGAAUACAACACAAUCCAGUUUAACUUCUCAGGCUUCUGCGAGUCCAAUACCACUAAAAUCCCUUCCCACCAUGAUGCACCGGCAACUAUUGCUUGACUGUGACUCGAGGGUUAAACCCUAUCCUAGCAGGCAUCCUGCAAUGCAACAAAGUCACAGUAUGUUUCCUUUAUCACAUGCCAGAUAGAAGGCCAAUAUUGAACACAUAGUGGCCUCCUGCAUCAAUCCAGUAGCAUAGCCGACAACAUACCACUACAUUUCUGCUCUCCAAUAUGGUCCAAUACUUCACCCAAAAACAUUCUAACCAUAUCCCUCCAAGUCAAAAGAGCAACAGAUUUUUAGACCAUGUGAUCAAAUGAUAAAAGAGGAAGACAGUUCACUAGCAGCAUACAGCCAAAAUACAUCAGAGCUUACAACCGAAGUAGCCUCUACAACUAAUACGAUGUCUCGAUGCAACGUCCAUGCAUCAUGUUUUGAUGUUUGAAACAAAACACUGGUGAUUAAUAUCUAGCAAGAUCAAAAUCAAACAGUCAAGUUGCCAAGCUCCAGGCUUUUAUCAAGAUUAAUGAGAGUCAAAUCACCUAUAUAAAUCCAAAAUAUUCAAUCAUUUAUUACCAUAAAAAACUUUUCUUAGACAGCAGACCAAAAUUGUUGCUAUUGUAACUAAUCAUUCAACUUCUGCUAGCCAUGAUAAUGCCAUAGAGCCUACAACUACUAUGUCACCAGUAUAUUAAGUGGUGAUGAUUUCUCCAUCUGCAUUAGACAACAUACCACAUGUUGUCAGGUAAUGAAUCUUCCACCCAUCUCAAAUUGUAUGAAGAUCGAGACAUCCAAAUUCUUUAACAGCAGCAUGGCCUGCUUCAACAUGACAAUUUCAGGGUAAAGCACCAAAUCAACCCAGCCAAACUUCAUUUUCCUGUAACAUCCCACACCAAACACUCAGCAAAAAGUUGUGAUUAGCCCCUGUGAAGGAACUUCAAUUCACCCAGUUUAUGACUUGAGCCUCUCCUCCUGUACAACACAAGGGCAAAUACAGGAGGAAAUGAUUAUGCCAUUCUCAAAAUCAAGCUACCGCUAAGAUUAUCGCUAUCCAUUAGGAAUUGAUCUACCCAAACCGGCUACAGCUGCAGUCUAAAGAAGCUUAACUAAUCUCAUUGUUCCUAUUGCAUCAUACCAAAGAACUCUGGUCACCAAACAACGUAGAAGAGCUAAGUAAUGAGAAACUACUACCAUCACGGAUGGCAAUGACAUAAAUUUCUGGCUCAUCUAUAUCCAGAUAAAGGACAAACUUAAAAUUUAACUAAAUAACCAUUACCAUAAUACUCACCGCAAUUAACACAAACUUAAACAAAGCUACUAUAUGUUAAACACUACAAAUAGACAAAAACUCCAGAUCAGCUAGUGACCAUAGCUAUAAGCACACCAAAAUUAAAACUACAUUUGAGAGCAGAUAAUUAAAGAAGAUGUAACUCUACUCCUCGCAAAUACUACUUAUUAUAAACUAGCAAAAUAGGUAACAGCAAGCUACUCAGAUACAAGCAAUCCAACCAGUCCUAGGUUGAUUGGUAAAAUCUUGCAACAGCCAGCCAACCUGCACCAAUCUGAAAGCAUUGUGUGUAUAGAUUCCAAUAUAUGACGCAGUUUAAGUCUCCAUCAAGGGUUACAGUUACUGCUGCUGAGCUUGCCGAGUUGGUGCACCACCAUAGCCUCCACCAUACCCAGCUUGGCCUCCAUAAUUGCCAGAAGCUUGUGAGGGGUCCGACCUCCAUCCUGCAUACCCAGCAUUCCCAGAUGUAUCACCAUAGCCACCUCCCAUAUAACCCCCAGCACCAGCUUGUAGAUCUCCAGCACCAUUUCCAGCUGAGGAAUUACUAUUUGGAGUACCCCCUGCACGCCCGCCACCACCAUAAGUAGCCGGGUUACCAUAAGCCCCAUCAUUUGUACCAUAUCCUCCAUAACCGUAACCUUGAUUUCCAUAUCCCGCAGCUCCACUGGGAGAAUGUCCAGCAGCAGCUCCAGCACCACCUAGGCCACCACCACUAGUGUUAGAAGCACCCCAGGGAGCAUUUCCAUAGCCUACAUUUCCAUAUCCAGAGGAUCCCUGAGAGUUCCACGUGUUCCUUGGUGCACCUGGUGGACCACUUCCAUAACCAGCAUUAGGCACAUUUGGGUUUCCAUAAGCAGCAGCAGCAGCGGGGCCACCAUAUCCAGGAUUAGCACCUCCAAAAUUUCCAUAGCCUCCAUAACCCAUACCAUUAUUGGUAGGACCAUAUCCAUAACCAGUAGUAUUAUAUCCAGAAGAUCCGUAAGGUGGAUAUCCCCCUCCUGUGUUUUGAGAUUGCAUGUACCUGUUGGAAUCCAUUCGGCUCUCAUAAGAAUUUGAAUUACCACCGGAUGCACCAUAUCCCUGGUAACCUCCACCACCGCCACCCAUGGCACGGCCACUCCCACCAGGAUUAGCAUCCUUUGGAAGAGCGCGCUUCACUUCCACUUGCUUACCAUUUAAAUCAUGAAAUGUCUUGUGCAAGACCCUAUCAACAGCUUCCUCAGAGUCAAAAGAAAUAAAUCCAAAUCCACGGGGUCGGUUCGUUUGCUGGUCAAACAUGAUUACCACAUCAGUAACAUCACCAUAAGAUUCAAAAUACUGACGAAAAGCCUCAUCAGUUAAAGUCGGAGGUAAUCCUCCAACAAAUAUCUUCUUUGUCCUAGUAUUUCCACCACCACCACCACCAAAGCUCCUCCCAGUAUUAGCGUUUCCAACUUUAGAGAUCUGUUGUUCCUCUCUUGAUAAAGCUCUCUUAGCCUCAACCUGGAUAUUUCGAACUCAGGGUUAUGCAAGAGAGUAAUAGACAUAACUAGCACAUAAAGCUAUUAGAGACACUGAUAUUGCUAUAGCAGCACACAGGCAAAUACAUAUUCACACACACACAUGCUAAUUAUACCCAAGAACAUAAAACAUUAAUCUCUGCUGCUAAGUUCAAUGCUCUCGAGGAACGGUCUGAGAACAAAUUCUCUUUUCAUAGCUCAAUGGCAAAAUCCAGGUUUGAACUCCCAAGCUAGUAGCCUAAUGGUCAUUGCAGAUAUCAUCACAGAUAAGCCACACAAGUACAUACACAUGCAAUGACCUAUCAAAAACCACAAUAACUUUAAAAAUGGUGCACCUUCAUUGGUAAAAAGCCCAAGUUAAUGGACCAAAUAUAAGCUUUGUACUAGUGCCAACCAACCAAAAUAACAGCCCAUCAAGCCCAAAAAAAAAAGCAAAAUCAUGACACAUGGGCUAGAUUGGGCUUGACUUCACACGUCAUAUGAAAGAGCACAACACUGAAAAAUUAAAUCAUCAGAAUAACAAAAAAUGCACGCAAUAAAAAACAUAAAGGCAGAUUUCAAAAAGCCAAAACCAUAUCCUAAACUUGAAAUCUAACCAGUAUUCAUUCAAACCCACAUCCACAACCACCAUAUGUACAAUAUUUAAAAUAAACCAUGUCCGCUCAACCCUAAAUAGAAACCUACAAGUACAACAAAUGCAAAACCCCAAUUUACACUAGCAAAGGCAAAAAGCUUUUUUUUCUAGCUAAAAACAAAUAAAGAAUCAACUUAACGCCACCAGUGUAUACUAAGCAAUCAACUCCUAAAAUACUAGCAAUCUACAGGAAAAUUUCCAGGGAUCAUAAUGAAAAAAAUUCAGCACAAAUACAGCUGAAAUUUUAGCCUUUUCUGAAUUCAAAAAACAAAUAAAAGGAACUUAAAUCAUCCAACGUAUAAUACAACAACUUCACCUAGCUAAAACCAAUGCCCAGAAGAGGAAUAAAACUGCAGGCAUAUGCACAAAACAAAACAACUAUGCCAAACUUACUAAAACGCAUCACGACCCAUCAAAGAUUGAAUUAAGAUACGAAAAACCUACAUCCCAAAACAAAGAAAACACUCAAAAAUCAAACUAAAACUAAUCUCAGGAAAAAAAAUGGGGAAAAAAAACACACACACACACAUACAAAGACAGUAAUAGUUAAAAGCAAAACCGAAAAAUUUUAAAUGGAAAAAAAAAGAGAAAACAAGGGGCUAAUAUUGUCUUACAGUGCGGCCAUCAAUGACAUGCCUAUCUUGAAGAACCCCAUCAAGAACAUUGGGAUCUGCAAAAACCACAAACCCAAAUCCUCUGGGCUUGCCAGAAACUUUAUCCCGCAUCACUACAGUCUGCAAUACGUCACCGUAUUUGCCAAAAUAGUCCUUCAAUUUCUCCUCUGAUGUUUCCCAUGAAAUCCCUCCUAUAAAUAGCUUCCCCUGAUCUGAAUCCAUCACCAAAAUUGUUGCUUUUUCUUAACCCAGUAAAAAUAAAGACUGAAAUUUUGGUGGGCUUUGAAAUUUAAAAGAAAAAAAGAAGUAAUCUUAAUCGAGCUGGGAAGAAGGGGUUAGAGGGGGGAAAGGAGGAAAGACGGCUGCUGGAUUUCAGAGAAGGGGAGAAAGAAAGAGAAGUGAGGAGAGGGCAAGAGUGGGUAUAAGAAAUGGAGGGUGGAGAUUUGUUGGGAUGAACGGUGGAGAUUUGAGUUCUGGAGAUAGGGGGAGGAGGGUCAAGGUUUUGUAGGUUUACAAGAGAGAUAUUUUUGGAACGACAUACGAUUCUUUGUCCUAAACAUGAUGGUUAUUUUAUUUCUUUAUUACUACCAUAAAAAAAAACUAAAAAAAAGACAAUAAUUUAUGAGAGGAAUUAUAUAUUGUAGAACAAGAAUUUAUAUAAAUUAAAUUUACUUUUUGUAAAAGGAAGAAAUUGUUAGAUGCAGCACUUUACAAAUUAUUUGGCUAGAAUCAUGCCGUUUAAAUAAUUUAAAGAAUUUAAAGAAUCUUUCCACACUACAAUGUAGAGGAUGAAUAUAGUACAUCUUUAGUUGGACGUGUUUGCAUGUUACUUAAUUUGGAAAAAAAAUAGUUAAAAUGAUAUAAUAAUAAUUUUGUAAUGCGAUAUCUGUGAAAUAAAAAAAUAAUUAUAUUAAUGUAAAAUUAGUGUGUUUGGAUACAAAAUUUAUCCCAAAUAAUAUUUCGCUUGCAUCAUAAACAUAUUUUUCAACCCACCUUUUUAUAUUCCCAACCACCUUUUUAUCUCAUAUACAUCACAUCACAAAAAGUGCUACAGUAAUUAUUCCAAAUAAUAUUUCAAAUAAUACCCUAUCCAAACAAACCUAUAUGGUUUUUCAUUUUUAAUCACGUAGAGAUGUACUAAUAUAGCAAUACAAUGUUGAAUGCUAUGCCCAGCAUAAAUGUCGCAACUUAUUAAACCAGAAUCUAAGGCCAUGCUUGGAUUGCUUGUUUCCGUCGGAAAAUAUUAUCGUUUUCCGUGAUCACAUUUCCCUAUCACCUUUUUCCCUCACAUAUAUCAAAUCGCUACAGUAAUUUUUCCAUGAAAAAUGACGGAAAAUGCAAUCCAAACACAACCUAAUACUACAAUUUGUUAUAACUUUAUAAGUCUAAUUGUAACUAUUUGCAGUCAACAUAUCUUACAGAUAUUUUUGCCACUUUUGUUACCAAUAUCUUAAGCUUUUAGCAUGGUUUCAACACCCCAAAAUUUCAAAAGUAAUAUGGAGGCACAAUUAGUAUAUUAUAAUUUAUAACUGCUAAUUACCAAAACUAGUUUCCUUUGUGUAAUAGAUUACUAGUUAUGGUAAUUGGAUUACUCUUUUGAUUAGGGAAGAAGCCAUCUCUUCCUUAUCCAGCGAAACCAAAAUCCCUCUUGGAAAAGCAUGGUCACAUGAUAUAAAAUUUACUCCACAACUUGGGGACUUUUUUUUACUAUUAUUUGAGCAAUCUAUUGUUGGAUUGUUAUUUUUAAAAAUUUUUAUAAAAAAAAAGUACUGUAGUGAUUUGAUGUAUAUAUGAUAAAAAGAUAAUUAAAAAAUAUGUUUGCAAAAAACGUAAAAAAUUUUCUACGAAAAAUCACAAUCUCCAAUUCUUCAACUUACGAAUUUGGCUUCUUCAUUUUCACCUCAAGCAGUUUUGCAUUAGUUGAUUGUAUCUUGUUUGGAACCCAAGUUUUUGCCAAGUUUGUCUGCUACAAGUUUUUUUAAAAUUUUAGCUACAGUAAUUUCAAAAAAUUUCUCAAAGUUUUUAAAAAAUACAUUUUAAAAUAUUCAAAAAUCUACACAUUUCAAAAAUUUUUUAAAAAACUUCUACAGUAAAAUACAGUAAAGUUUUAGACAAACUCUCAAAAAACUUACCUUUCAAACAAGGUGGUGGAAGAAAGAAUUUACUCUUGUGUAGUACAGGCUACAUGAACGAAUGACAGGAGGAGACUACUAGCUAAUGUUUUGUUUUAUAUCAAGAAGUGAAUGAUUAGUCCUAAAACAAACUACAAACAUACACUCUAAUUCCUAUUAGAGUAGAUGAGCUUGUUGACUAAUGACCACUUUUCAGUAGUUUAAAUCUCCUAUAUGUUUGUAUUAUUGUUGCCACUUUCUUGUGGUACAAAUAGUUGUGCAAGAUGAAUCUUGGAAAACGAAGACUGCAUAAUGUACUUUAAUCUAAGGACAAUAAAGUCCUCUUCAUCUUAUCUUGUGGGUACUAUGAUUUCGUUUUUUUCUUGAGCAGUCUUACUUUUAGGUUUGAAUGAGUGUGAUUUGUGUGGAAUAAUAGCUAAUAUGUCAUGGUCCACAAACCAGAAACUCAGACUUGAUGGUCAUAGGAACUGGUCAUGCAUGAGUUCAUGUGACAAGGAUUAAUGAUCAAUUUGAUUAAAUUUUCUUUAAAAAAUACACUUUUUGUCCCCUAUUGUUUGGCAGUUGGACCAAUUUGGUCCCUGUUAUGUUAUUUCAGUGAAAACACAUUUUAUCUCUCAGGUCUUAAUUUUUUUUUUUAAUGAAUUUAUGACAAUUGACGUUUAAUCGUCCAAUUCGGACUAAAAUUGAAGUUUAAAAAACUUAAUUUGGACGGAAUGAAAUAAGUGAGAAAUAUGCAUCAUUAAUAAUAAAAAAAAAAGGACUUAGGGAAACAAAAUUUAUGAAACCCUCAAAAUUAAUCAGAUAAAAUUCUUCAAAUUUUGAAAAUAAUGUGGGUAAAAGUGCUGAAUGAUUGGAAAAGAAUCACAGGAAACUUGAAAUGGAUCAAGUUCGAUAAAAUUUUGUACCUCCCAAGUCUUUUUACUAAUUUUAUGCACCCUAGCUUCACACAUUUUACUCUGUUCAAGUUUUAAUUGUCAAUCAUCAAUUUCUACCAAAUUGAGUGAUGAAACAUCAAUUCUCAUUAAUUGGUCAAGAACCAAAACUUAAGGGAUGAAAUAUGUCCUUUUUUUUUUUUAAAUAAUAGAGACCACAAUUGGUCCAAUCCCCAAACAAUGGGGAUGAAAAAGGUGCAUUUUUCCCUUAAAUUUGACAGAAAGGUUGGCCAUAUUUCCUUCUUUUCAUGCCCCAUAAAUGGUUGAUUAUUGAAUGCUAGCAAGCUUGCAACCGUUGAGCUCUAGAUCCCAGAAUGGAUAUUAAUAAAAAGUGUACAAAACCCGAAAGAAAUGCUGCAAUGCCAGAGUGGAGUGGAGCCACCAUGGUACAGGUGUUGUUGAGUUACAAAGACAAAGCUGGUUUUUGUCUUAGUCUAACUCUAUAUAUUUGGCCUUUUACUGAGCUCGUGUACCCACCUCUGUACUCAUUAUUACUUGCUCCUUUUCUCAACGUUCCUAUUUUCAAAAUGCCAUUGGAGGCAACUCUUUGAAAUGUUGCCCUCAUCGGUCUGAUAAUUUAUUAAUAAUACCCUGUGUGUGCUUAUAAAAUCCCUCAAGACAGACAACCCACAUUCUUCUUCUUCUUCUUCUUCUUCCUGCCUGAUUUGCAGGGAAGCGUGGAAAUCUAGCAUACUUCUUCAAUGGGGUGCUUUCUUGCUUGUUUUGGGUUCACCAAGAAAAGGAGAAGGACAAAGGGUAGGAGCAAAAAUGCAUCUGGAGACCAAGUAAGACAAAUCUCGACUUUUAUCUUUUCUGUUUCUUUUAUUUUGGUAAGAGAAUUCUUUGCUUUUGAGGAUACACAAAACUUGCAUCAAUUCAAUAUCUUGAAUUUACUGUGGGAAAUUGCCUUGUUUUUGUUAAAGAGUUAUGGAAGGUAUGUACCUCUGGACUGUGAUGUUACGGUCAAACUUGAAUGUGAUGAGAUGCAGAAGGCCUCAGCAACUGAGCUUAGGUGAGUUAAAGAGUUGUAUUCGGUUUUAGGUGUACAUCUAAUCGUGGGAAUGAAGGAUUGCUUUUCAUGCUUGUGUUCUGCUUUUGGUUGCAGAGAUAAGCCUAAAGAAUCGUCGUCCGCGAAAAUAAAGAAAAAAGUGAGCUUCAAUUUGAAUGUCAAGACUUAUGAGCCACUUCCUAAUGAUGAGCUUAGUAAUUGCAAUCUUUCUGAGGGUGAGGAGAAGACAAUGUGGGAAUAUAAUCAAGAAGAAACAGCUGGAGCAAGCAUGAAAUAUUUCAAUUAUGAAGACAAUUUGAUGGCAUCAAAGAUUGGAUCAUUCCCUUCGAAUUAUAGAUAUCAAAAUUGCAGAGAUAGCUAUGAUGAAGAGGAUGAGAUGGAACUAGAGGAUAGCGAUCUAGAUGAUGAGGAUGAACUUGACUUUGAUGAAGAUGAUAUUGGUGAAAGCUAUGAUUUCAGAAGUCAAAAACUAUGCCAAGCAUCAGUGGAAGAAGAGGGAAAAGUUACAACCGAUCAAUUGGCAGAAAAAGGAAGCAAUCUUAUGCAGCCUCAAGUUCUGCAGCAUCAAGAACAUAACAAAACUGAAUCAAACCAAAAUGCUCGAAACAGGAGUCACAAUGUCUUUUCUGUGCUUGCUCCAGUUGAAAAUCUCACUCAAUGGAAAGAGGUUAAAGCUAAAACUAGACAGCAAUUGAAGCAUCAGAAGGAAAACAUAGUGUUAGAGCAAGAGCAGCAUAUGCCCUUAUGUACGAAGAAGAGCUCCGAACCUUUAGCUUUGAACUCAUCAGUGGAUUUGAAUCAAUUCAAGCCUCAGAGUCAUGAAAUUGCAGUUGAUGCUAGCCUUUCAAACUGGUUGGUUUCUUUCAAUGGCAAGGACAGCAAUGCUGCAAUAGCAAACACCCAUCAAAAAAGAUCAAGGUGGAUGCAUCAGACUCGUUCCGCAGAUGAGAUAGAACUACUCUAAGCACCAAGGAAAAGCUGUCGGCUUCACCACCAAAAUACCAUACAUUCUCAAAACUGUUUCUGGAUUUGUGCAGAAUAGAACAGACAUUGCAUUUUCUCUCAUAAUAGAACAGACAUUGCAUUUUCUUGGAAAGCUCCACCCUGCCCAGGUGUUGAAUUGUUUUCUGAAUAAGACAAGGCAAGGGCGUCUUGUUACAUUUGUCUUUAUCUUGUACUUUUCAGCUUGAUUGCUUUUAUAUCUUUAGUGAUAAUGGGAAAUUGCUGUGAAUCUGUAAUACAUUGUAUUCUUUUUUCAAUGCAAAUGAAGUAAACAAUACCUAAAGAAGGAACUCUGAUGUACAUGGAUCAAAUUUAUCUUGCUUGUGUAGCAUUAGACAGAAAAUCCAUUUAGUUUAUCUUUGCCAAGAAAAUCUGGGAAGCAUCGUUUAUCUUUAAUGUUAACCAGUCCCCAAUCUCGAAUUGUACUCGAUGAAAAUCUAAUCAACUGGGUUCGGAAGUUACAGACAAUAAUCAGCAGUUGCACAAGGAAAUCUUUAUUUAGGAAAUAGAAGAAAGAAAUUGACAAAAAAGUAGAGCAAUUAUUGCUGCAUUAUCAAACAAAUAUCACUAGUAUGAGAAUCCACCAGAGAACAAAUUCUGGUCUCUCCUAUUUUUUUCUUUUUUCUGUUUUCGUCUGCAAUCUAUCAAGUCAAUUACACUGGAAGCUUGUAAUCUCCGGCAGAUGACCAGGACACAGGGAUGGGGUGAUAAGGCUAUUAUAGGUCAUACGGAAGCCAAAUCAUGAACUUCUUAAUCUACUCUCUAUCUAACAGAC
rnacentral:lncRNA from 1 species